rnacentral:lncRNA from 1 species
UGCACUCGAAAAUAAAAUAAGUCACCGGGUUAUCACCUAAUGGUGAUGUAUGCAGGCGCCGCAGCUCUCCCUCCAAUCACGGCUGCGUCCCUCGCGCAGGUGCGUGGGGCCUCCGCCGAACUGCUGGUGAUGGUGGAGAUGGUGCUGGAGGGGCGGCCUGCACUAGUAGAGGCGCUAGCUGCGGCGCUCGUGUCAAUGCUGCGGAGUCAUGGUGCAGAUGCGGUGGCGUCUCGGCUGUGCAGCCGCCAGGUGCUGACGGCAGCGCGCAAGGAGCUGGGACUAGGCGCCGCAGCUGCCUGCGAAGCCUACGUGUAGUGCAGAAUCAAGUCGGUUGUGCACUGGCAAAGGUGGCAGAGCUCGAUGAUCCUUCUGUAGGCUUUGCUUGUUUCGCGAAGAGUGGCCAACAGGGAGGGCAAGGGUAUGUCUGCACGGAAAGUCUGAGCGGGGCUUCGACUUCCAUGCCCGUUGACGUUGUAGCUACGCAAGCCCUAGCGGAAAUAAGCGCACGGAGCAUGGUAUCACUGUCGGUACAAUGCAGUACGUUGUUGGUCUCUGGAGGUGGCCUUCCAUAAAGCCGUUGCCUGCAUCGUAAUUGCGCAGGCAGCCAUGUAAGCACUGCUUAUUCAAAUGCGAUGUCCCAUGGCAUAUCUCAGGUGGAACGUCAACUGUGCUCACACCACGUCCUAUGAUAGAUUAGGUUCGACGAACCGAGGAAGGAGCAGCACUCGGAUCCUCAAGCCUAACCUGCAUAACGCAGCUUGAAUGAGGCCUGACACGCAACCCCAUAAUCUAGUCCUAAUCAGUCCACGGGCCCUGCACAUGCUGCACACAAUUGGCCCUGACCGGGACACCCGGGAGGGUGGGCAGCCUCUCGUCUGGACCCCGAACUGCCCAACCCCGGUCGGUUGCUCUCAGUACUUGAGCGGCGCCGGCAUAGGCCACACUUGCUCGCUCUCCAGGUCUACGUUGACUGGCGCGUCAAAGAUAUCCAGGUAUUCAGCUACGGUGGGUGCGUCCUGAGGACCGGGAGAAGAAGGGACGGGCACGUAAGAAAAAGCAGGAAUGAUGUCUUCUAUGGGUUGCAAUUGCGCUAGGCAUCUGGAAUAAAAGCAUAUGUAACCGACCGCUAGGCAGUGAACUUUCCUAGCUGUACAAGGGGAGCCCCUUGCAAAGUGGGUAGCUACCACCCGUCACAAGCUGCAGCUGUCGUGUGUCAAGCAAACACAGCAUGCGGCUUGCAGCCAGGUGUCCGCAUGUGGGUUAUCCUCGAGGAUAUACGCCGUCCCGGGGUACCGGCUGAGAGUCACUUAGGAAAGGGUGCAACAUACUUGCGAGCUGACCAGGAACUAAGUUGAUGCGCCGUUGAUCCGCUAGAUUUGGUUGGAUGCUGGUGGUGAGUUGCCGAACCCAACGAAUACAUUCUGAAGUCGGAUGGGGUGACGGAUUAGGGUGCCCCUCUAGCAGGGGAGAGCAAGGACUGCCCCGGGAAAGGGGGCCGCUGGCGAAGUUAACCACCCUGUAACAACAUACAUACUAGGCAUACGUCCACGUUCGUGUAAGCUAUGCGGUGGCCCCUUACGUGCUAUCAAGUUGCAUUACUGACCUCGGUGGGUGUGAGGGACAGCACGACUUCUUGCGCCGGCACGUCAUCCAAGGACGAUUCCACGGAGUUCAGCUUGCGCCGUGUCUCGGGCUGAUAUCACCGUUGAACAUGGCACGGAAAACCUAGCGUUAAGUACUUGUGUGCCAUACAAGACUCCGGUGGCUCAAGGGACGUGGGGGGAUGUCUGAAGUAUCAAAGCCAAUUCUAGGGUUACUCAACGGGUCAGCGUGCGCCACCAUGGAUCGGUACAGCAGUAGGAGCGAAUCUGCCUAGGUCCCCUAAGAACUACCCUCGAUUGGACACGGUUGUCGCAAUGUAUUGACCGAGCCUAGCACAACUGGUCAUGCGCGAAUGUGACUCACAUCUUGCGCCGAAGCAAGCUCCGGGCCAGCUUUCCGAAGGAAUGCAUUAAUAUUUGAAGCGGACUUGACGGCCCUGCAUGCAGGGUCAAGGCAUAGAGCCGGUUAAACACCCUGCAAUACUAGCCUGGUGCAAUCCUGGAGCAACCUGCCGUGUCAAGUUUGCACGGCCCCUUGCCAUCCGUCACAUCUCCCAUGGCAAUUCGAAAUUCUUUAGCUCUGUUGUUCGAACACCUAUCCAGUAACCCUCCGUAACCGCUCAAUCUUAUACCCCAGCCUGGGCUUCAGACCCGGCCCUAUCUGCUUUGAAAGAGGCGCGAGUCCAGGGCCUCCUCUGGCCACCCGGGGAUGGUAGGCCCUGGGCCUACGCCUGUUCCAAUCCGAUACAUCCCAUCACCUUCCUCCCUGCCCCUAUUCCUCCCCGUGACCCUACAGCCCACCGAUACAUCCGCGCAAUCUCUUCUGCCAGCCUUUUCCAUAGACACAUGCAGCCUGAAUGCAACCCUAAGAACAAACAUCGAGCUCCAGCUUCGAUGUAGGGCUGCCGGAAGCCUGGGGCUCCACUGCACCCAUCACCCGCCCACAGGCACAACCGCUCGCCAACCAGGCACUCAGCCCUUACUGCUACUGGUAUGGGGGCCCGUUUUGAGCUCGUUUGAUACCAAGCACGCCUUCCCGCACCUAGCUAUCCAAUCCCCAGUCCUGAGUCUUCUUCAUACACAGACUGCCUGCCUCCCUGUCAUCCUUCCACCUACACGCACCCGAAUGUGUCCAGCGGGUCCAUCACCUCCACAGAGCUGGCGGAAGGCACGAACGCGGCGUACCAGGCGUUGAAGUAGCGCGCAGGCACAUCCUCACAGCUGGAAAUGACCUGAUGGGGCGACAGGCAGGCCACGACAAUAGUCAGGCCGCCUGACCCAAUGGACUUCCAGACAAGGGACCUGACGUCAUGUGUGUCAAACUGAUUGCGCAGCAAAAUAAAUGUACACCACAGUCCCAUGUCCAGCAAGGCAAGGCGGCAGGCCAACUGGUAUGGCGCCCUGCAAGGGUAUCACGGGUGAAGUGCACGACAGCCAGUCCUGGACAAGGCGCUUACCCUUGCUUCUGAUAAUCGCAAUUCUGAACCCUGGGUCAGCACGUCUCGAAGCACUCCCAUAAGCUGCGGAGUUUUCCCCUGCAAUGGUGUGCGAGACAACAGGCACAUGGAAGUUAGGAAACGUUCCAUUGUGCCUAUCCAUUGCUACAAACCCCGCAGCGCCGAAAGAUCAUCAAAAUUAGUCCACAGGUCAUGUCAGCACUUGCUUUGGGCAAACCCCAUGCCAAGAUCUGGGGGCUUACCUCAAUAACGUGGAUAUAGCAGAGAGGGUACACCAGUAAGAAGCCUGUGAUCUCACCGUCCUGCCCGUGUUUGUCUAUAACGCGCGAUAGCUGCACUGCAUUGCAGAAGGAAUGGGAAGGCUGUGAAACCGGGGCCGGGGAGAACGCUGGGGGAAGGGGAAGAGCUGUGAAAGGUCGGUUUUGGUGGUAUGUGUACGGUUGACCCCCGGUAGCAACCCGCUAGGCUUUGUUAUUUUCCGCCCAGUGACUCACGCCUGACGCUUUCCAUGCUAUUGUGUCUUUGCACCAUACGUGCCACGUAUACUAUCCGUGUGAUGAGGACAUUCUGCAUCAGGGAGUACACGGGUAGGAUGAGUUCUCUGGACCGUGCCUGUGGAGAGCAAAAGAUUGCCGACCUUUCCAGCUUUUGCGACUUUGUUCAGGAUGACGUCGAGGAGAGAGUCUCGUGGCCCUGCCUCCAGCUGACUGCGUAGCGCAUCGGCCAUCCUCGCCAAUGAUAAUUGUUUACUAGGACAAUUUGUUGCUCAACUCUAAAAUAUAUUAAAGAGGGUAUAAGGCUAAUCGCUUGGAAGGAGCAAGAUUACUGCUUUGGUCAAAGAGGAGCAACGAGCUGGAUGGUUAUCUUCAUCGGUCAAUUAUGACACGGCUUGAAAACUCAGCAAUGCUACCAUGACAACUUUGCUCCGAAUAGGACGGUGAUGCGAUGCGUUUUGUCGACGUUUCUAAGGGCGGGCAUUUAUAUAUUUCAAUACAGAUCACGAAGUGUACAAUUCCAUAGCUUGUACCAACUACAACAUAAGCUAUCGGUCAUCUUUUUUUGUGUUUCCGGUAUCUCUAUGCUGCUGCUCAGCCGCUGUGCUGGGCCAAGCUGGCCAAGCCUGGGGUCCCACUUAACUUUACCUCUCCAUGGCCUCGCCGAUAGGACGUAGUGCGUAAAGAUGCGUUCCAUUGCUGGAAGCGACUACUGCUAUGAGACCCCAGUCUCCAACUCUCUAUCCGAAAGCAACUCCCAAACCGCUACAACCGACAGAACAAUUGCCGUUGGAUCUCGGGUGUCCGGUUUAACCUUGUCGAAAAUAAUGAAGGCCGGGUCUCAGACAAAAAACGUUGCGCUGUGGCUUGCCAUGAGGAUUUUACAAUAUAAGCAUAAGGGUGCAUUUAAACCAGUUCAUCAAUCACUCCAAAUGGCAGAAUCAAUACAUGCCAACCCGCAACCUUCCCAACCCAACUGACCGCAACCUAACGAUGACGCGCGUGAGUGCAGAACGCACGUGAUGGACACAGACGUGGAAACAUCCGUGUUUGCCUGCUCCUCUUCAGGGGUAAUCAAAACGAUUGCCCCGCCAAGACCACCCUUUUGCGCCACCAAGGAUAAAGUAGGUAAAGACGUCAAGAAUCUUGUUUGUCCAAAAGCCCGCAGACCCAACAGUUCAUCGGCUUCGGCUAUUGCAGAACAGCUACUGAAGCCCACGCUCUUGCGCCACAACCCAACGGCUCCAGGAGGGUCCUACUGAGCGGCUGUUUGCUCUCAUCAUCCCACCCGCCGCUAUCUACACACUAUCCAACACCUCCGGCAACAUCACAAAAUAUGUUUCCGGGCGCCGAAAAGUGGGCCAUAUACGUGCAUCCGGCCCCGACCUCAUUAGCUGGCCGCAGCAUGCACGGCUGCCCCAAAUGCGUGGCGAUCUGCUCUGGCGGCGGAACUCAGCGGUCCCUCCACACCCACAUCAACUCCACUGCGUAGUUAAUGACGUUUGACGCCCCCUUGCAAGCCUCCCGGAGCGGCGGCAAUAGAAGCCACGACGUGAGGGCUUGCUUGGUGACUACCAGGUAGAUCAGGAGGGAGGCCAGCAGCCAAAUGACCACGUUGGCACCUUCCACCGCCAUCGCGUUUCGAAGUUGCUGCGGAUUGCCAAGUAAAGUAAGACGGGAGACAGAAAAUAGGUGGCCGUCCGGUGUGACGGGGCAUGCAACCACGGGGCAUGCACAGGGCGGGUAUUGCAAGGGAGAAAGAUACAUGUUACUUAAGUCUUCACUGGGACAUGUGGUGCCAUAUGCGAGAGGCCGGCAAACAGCCGCAUGCGCCAUCGGCCAGCACGCUGGGAGCUUUGGUGGAAGUGUGAUGAACGUGUGCGCACACGCACCUCCCUCCGCAGCUCCGGCUCCGUCUCAAUCAUAGUUCCAUAACGCGCAGGGCCUCGGAAAGCCGGAGUCGUCGUUGGUGUUGUCUGCAACAGCGAAAGCGUGCAAGGCGUGGAAAGGCACUUGUGGGAGUUCUGACCGGCGCGUGACAAAUUGGCCUAUUGUGGCCUACUGCCAUUUUGCAAGGCCGUUGGGCCGAUGUUCAUGGGAACGGCGUCUGUGCUCUGCGUCAUGCACAGAAGAGCAAAAGUCAAACCCUCUGGCUCUGUUUUUAAUUUGUCGCAGGCAGGUUCAUGGGAGCUACCUGCGUGCUUGAAGCUCGUUGCCCGGCGCCAGAGCUCAGAGAGAUGGAUGCCGUCGCUGCGAGCCUCCGCACCCCCGGUACUGGGAAGGUGGCCAUAUGGAGCGGCAGGGAGAGGGCCAUCCGGCUGGACAGUUAAAGCGACGGUGUAGGUUCGUUCCUAGUCGAGAGACUGAAGUUGACCCAGUUUGUCUGUCGUCUCGUCGAAACGGAAGUAAGCUCAGAACUUGUUCUUGUUGUGUAGCGUUAAGCUAACGUUUUAGACAUAAUGCUGAAUUAGGUGCUUUUGCUAGAUAGCGCUAUAAAGAUUUAAUUCGUUACGGAAAAGCGGGGCUUUUCCAAAGGUGCGAGGCUGUCGACGGUCGUCAGAUCAGCUGUACGAAUCUAGGCUGGUAUAUUGGAUAGCCUCUCGGAAUUCCGGAACCGUUGGUACCAGGUCUGGUGCGCUGAUACGAGCUGAUUCCUAGCGGCCCACCAAGUCGUUUCACGUUGGUCUGCACAGACACGCAAACAAGAUUUUACAGUAUUUUACCCAAAUCGUCAGUAUCCCGGAUCGCUUGUCUAGGUAUUUGUUCCGCUGCUGAAAAGGGCAGUCACACGCCGGUCGAAAUUUUGGGUUGACUGAAUCAAGUUCAUUCUAAAGGACCCGAUUGCCGUGCGGCAGCGUGCAAACGCAACCAAACAAGGCCCAAACCUGUUGUGGUUAAUAGCCAAGGCAUAGGCACAAGGGCCAGGUAAAACACCUGGCUAAAUUUCGAGUUAUUGCCAGUGCCUCGGGUUGGUGCUAGGUUUUAUUGGUGCGCCGUUGUGGGACGUAUGGCACUAUAUGCCACUGGGGUAGGUUGAACAGUUCGCGGUGCCUGUAUGUACGGCUAGUGACUGACUUGGUUGUUGGUCCCCCUUGUAUUAUCGCUCACUAAACCUCCCUCACUCAUAGCAACGCCAUCGCAAUUCAUAUGCAGUUAGAGGCGGCGGACGUCGUGGACGCACAUGUUUCGUUACAGGGAGUGAGAUGAUAAAUGUAUGGGACGCCUGAGCGCGUAGCACACUUAGCACACACGGGACGUAAUCCUGCGGGCUGUCGUACUCGGCGCACCUACCUUCAUCAAGCUUACAGUCGCGAUCACGACAAGGAAAGCACGCAUCAUAUAACUGUCACCUGAUCGUUGUGAAAAUUAUGCAUCUGGAGAGACCAAUUGAGCGCGACUUUUGUCUUGCCUAGGUAGCCCGCGGCCCCAAACAGUACAGCCGUCGUACUUCAACGAAGGUUAGGCAAACAUCACGCCACUUACUUCACCUUACUGUGCUUGGCUAGUAUUCUCACGUCCAUACGCUUUGGGUGACGUUGUGGAGCUCUGAUUUGCCUAUCUCUAUCACGACUUACUCAGACGCUGUUCCAGGAAUCAAAUAAAUUAUAAGAUUAAGUAAAAUGGCGAACAAUAUGGCGCAACAAUUAAUUGAGCAGACAGUAGUAUCGUUAGCGCGCCAAAUGGAAGCGCAAGUCGACCGAGAGUUACAAAAGCUUGACCAUCUUGGCGAGGAUGACAUCGAAGCCAUCCGACAAAAACGAAUGGUCGAAAUGAAGCAGCGUCAAGAUAAAAUGAAGGAGUGGGCUGCUCGCGGGCAUGGCGAGUAUACAGAAAUACUUACGGAGCAGGACUUCUUCAGGGAGAUGAAGGGAGAGGAGCGUAUGGUGUGCCACUUUUACCGGGAAAACUGGCCGUGCAAGGUGGGAGACAAGCGCGCGCCUUGAAAGGGGGCGGGGUAAACGGACCCAGCUGACACGAGUAGUGACACAGGUCAUGGACAAGCAUUUGAGCAUCCUUGCGAAAAAGCACAUGGAGACCAAGUUCGUCAAGGUAAGUUUUGCUUCUGUACAGCCCCAACAGGGUACCUAUGCUUACAGAUUGCGGGGCUAGGAGGUGAUGUGGGUUCAGCCAUCUACCCCACCCCUGAACGAGUAUUGGUGGCUGGUAAAAGAUGAGAGGGUAAAUUGAGGUUAAGCUUAUUAUGCGAUGGUUUGCUUUAAAACUUCCCUGCAUGGUUUGCGCAAACACAGCGCUUGCUCUGUUCUUUUCACCCUUACGCGACGCCUUGCCAGCAUGGGCCGUAUGCUUCGGAAAGGGACGCAGUAUACGAGCCUUCACAUUUAUUUGUAGAAGGCCUGGACUAGGAGAGCGUUUGUGCCGUGUAAGUACAGUGCCAAGUAGGAGGUGCUGCUCGUUUGCCGUUUGCCCUCGGACUGCAUGGCGCCAGAGUUUUAUAAUUUUCCAGCACCCGUACAGCUACCUUUUCCACCUGCCUACCUUCCAUCAGGUCUGUCUUCAAAAACCGUGCAGCAUGCGUUCGUGGCCAUCUCAAUGCGUCUCCGCCGGGUGCUGUGCUGCCAUACCUCGUCGCUUUGCAGAUCAACGCAGAGAAGAGCCCCUUCCUGACGGAGAGGCUCAAGAUCUGGAUGCUGCCCACGCUGGCGCUUGUCCAAAACGAAAAGACUGUGGACUAUGUUGUGGGAUUUGAUCAGGUGGGCACUCCGAUGUGGCGGCAGGGCGGAAGUAGGGAGCAUCAGAUUCGGGCUGGAGGGAACGGACACCUCGCGCACUGCCCCCAGGGAGGGGACGCUUGCCUCGCGGCCCAGAGUCCACGGUGCAUUUGGGUGCACUCAUAAGCAGCCUUGAGGGUGCAUUUUUGCGCGGGAGGGUUUAGGUGGCUUGGAGUAGGGUGCAGGGUUCCGCAGGGACCACAUGCCAUGUGGUGGCCUUUCCUGUAUGCGUGGGACCCAACGCUUUUGCACCCAGAUGGGGCGCCUGUGCGUAGCGAUACAGAGCAACGCAGCGUGCCGCUUGCAGUUCCCAUUUGCGUAUGUUGAGCACGGCAAAGGUGAGCGAACGCGAGACCCUCGCGUUUAUAAACUCAUGCUGCGCCACAUUUCUUCGCCAUGCAAUAGUUGGGCGGCAAGGACGACUUCGAGACGUCGGUCCUGGAGGAGCGGCUGGCCAAGUCGGAGAUGUUGGACUAUGACUGGAGCGCAGGCGGGAAGGCGGCCGCAGCGGCGCCCAAGGGCAUUCGGAAGGGCGGGGGCGGCGCAUACAAGAAGACAGAGUCCGACGAGGACUCAGACUUUGAUUGACUUUUUGACAUCGAAGCAAAGUGCAGUGAUGCGUUGGUUCCAAUGACGUGGAAAGGCUUCAGCUGCGUAUACUAGUUGUACUGAUAAAGUUGUUGACGCGCAGGAGGAAAAGUAAGUGAACUGAGAGGGUGAGGCGUUGCUGCUUCUCUUGUAUGUUUAUUCACAAACGUGCAGAUGGUGCCUAUCAUGCUCCUACCCAGGCUGUGGUAAAGAGCAACAAGUGCAUGUUUGCAGAGUUAGUAACAUAACCCGCAGUGUCUUCCGGAGUCAAUCUCAGGGACUAUAUCGUAUGGAUGCCAUACGAUCCGGUUGCUGUUGUUUACGUGACGUUGCUGUUCGACUUUAACUUGGUGUGCUGACUCAGAUAUGGUCUGCGUGCUGUCCAGGACCGUUUUCCAGUGCACUCGCCAAGGAUGCCAAUUUACAGCUACUUGUACGAGCGGUUACUUCUGGCAGGCUCGCAGCAGGUGUAAAAUAUAGUGACUUAACUGCUCCUACGGUUGACAAAUGUUUCAGCAAGUGCCUUCCGGUGCUCGCUGAUGUGUGCCCCGUAAGGUGAUAUCUCUGCCUGGCCUCGAACCAAGCCCCCGAAGCCAUGGCGUUCACUGGGGUCAAGUGUUCCCCAUGCAUCCUGAUAAUUCAAGUCAACAGUUAGCUUGCGUUUCCCGUUCAUUUUUAGCCGCAGUCAUACCAUCCCGUCCGAUUGCCGCUGUGGCAUUCACGGUGUGUUUAUGGGCACCAUUGAAAUUGAAGAGGCUGUCGCUUCUGUAAUCCGGACAUCCUUUCAGAAUGUAUCCAACCCGAUGCGGAGUCAAGUCAGCAGAAAAAGCUAGAACGGCCCCAAUCAGCCUUUCUUUACCGCACCGAACCCCUUAUUGAUUUUCGGUGGCGGCACGCGCACGAUCUUUGCCCCCGGAUUGGCCGCCAAGUAUUCCUCCUCCAGCGCUACCAACGCCGGCCGCACAGCCUCCAGCACCGACGGCUUCAUUCGGUCAUGGAACAGCACGCCCUGUGAAAGAAGGCAGGUGAGGCAAGUCAUGCCGUCAGUAACUUUGUAUCCAUAUAACAGUGAACCUUUUGAGUCCACUGCCACAGGAAUGUAGUAACGUUAAGGGUCGCUCAGAAAAAACACAUGCAACACAUUUUCUUUCUGGCAACAGCACUGAAUAACUUCUAUGACCUGAACGACGACGUAGUCGUGUGUUGUGAUGCCUGGAGAUCAGCGCUACCGGCUUAGCGCAGACGCACCUGCAAGUGGUCGUACUCGUGUUGAAAGAUCCGGGCGACCCAUGGGUCUGUCAGCUGCAAUCUGACAGGCUGCCCAUUCGCGUCGAGCGCUUUAACCGUUAUUUGCCGUGAGCGCUGCGGCGGAUGGAUAGCAGCAACACAAAAAUGCUAUGAUCAGCAACAGAAAUUACGAAGCGCCCCGUGGUACAUGUCCAUGCUGCAGGCAGGAACCCAUGCGCACAGUGUGCCCAGGUGUAACAGGGCUGGAAUAGCAGUGGCCGCCCAUGUAGCAUUCAUCUGUGACUAAAUUGGAUCCCAUGAAGUUCUUCGUUUGGGCCUUUGCCCCGAGCAGCGCAACGUCAUCUUGAAGGCCAACGCCGAUGCGAAGAGGGCGUCACGCCAUGCAGCCCACGAAUACCCCGCCUGUAAUCAGCCCUGAAGGCUGGCAGCACAUGCACUGCCUUGGGUCCAUCGUUCUCCCACACUUAGAAACGCCCCCCACAAGGCCACUGCGCUUCUGCAGACCUCAACAUCCCCGUAGAUGCGCGGGAAGGACAGGCAGCCCUCUUCUCCCAGUUCCUUGCCGCCCAGCUGCUCCACAAUUUCCGGGUUGACGAGGAUGGACUCGUUCCCGGGCCGGUCGCGGCCCGCCGGGUUAAAAACCAUCAGCCGUAUAUUGACGCCCACUUGCGGCGCCGCAAGCCCAACGCCGUCGUCCCUACGGCCGAGCAGUUGGGAAACCAAGGCCGGGUUAGGGCGACGCAGUCAAAGGGCGAGAACCGAGAUGAGGGGCGGAUGAGGCAACGGAACGUUACCCUCAUGGGAACGAGACACAUCAGAAAGGGUGAAGAGCAGCACGGAGUAACGGGGGUUCAACAUCAACGGAAUGAUGGAAAUGGUUUGAGGUGUAUCACAAAAACGAGGAAAGAGAUGCACUAGACGUACUACGAGUAUGCCGAGUAUGUUUCAGGCCUAAGUCCGCAUGCAGUAGAGGCGGUACGGCUACAUGUCUCUCCUGUAUUCACAGGUAAGGGCCUCCUAACUUACUGGUACAUGACCUCGAUCAUUUCGUUGGCUAACCGCAGUAGCGAGUCAUCAAACACGCCAAUGCGUGCAUUGACGGCCCGCAGGCGCGGGUCAGGAUAUUUCACGAUUUGGAGCGGACUCGUCCAACUGAGCUUCGUGACUGUGCGGGGACACGGUUGGGUCUUACUAAAUCACCCGAGGCGCGUCGUACAUUCGCCUUUGGUGGCGAACCCAAAGCGAUGCCAUCAUGUUCAACCAGGCAGGAUUGUCACAUGCGUGCAAUAGCGGUUACGUCUCCUCAGCCGCCUGUAGGGACAGCUUGGAGGGGCGUCACGCGCUAUCUUCUACGCGCUGCACAGUUGCCGGGUGGUAGGAGCUGGGCAGCUAUGAGGAUCUCCGGCGGUAGGAGCUGCAGCAUCACUAACAUUACACCCCUUUAACCGCGCAGGACUCACCAGUCGGCACCUCCACCAUCGCCUUGGCAGUUGCCCCGAAGCCUUUUCCGCUCUUCGUGGCCUGUGCGUUAACCGUGAACGCAAAUCUACGACCGGCAAGAGCCAGCCUAGCAGCGGAUCUUAGGCACGGAGCAUUAGGAGUAAAGAACAUGGAUGUCCUGGAUGAGCUCCAUGCAGCGGGACAGUUGAGUUCAGUCAUCGGCUAAGGAUACCAAUAACACGAUGUCACAUAAGUUGUCACAAGAAAUGAGCUACAUAUAGACUUCUUGAGGACACAGAGCGAGGCUGCAGUUUCCUGUGUCCGGCUGUGGCCUUUGUGCUCAUCCGUACACGAGGUCGGAACAAAUCUAUUGCUCCAAUUACUUUCCACAAAAAGCACUACGCAUAAUUCGUUGUAUUGGAUGGAUAUGAGCUAGGACUGAUGCGUCUCAGAUACUCCGCUUUCUACGAGCCCUACAGGCCCACAGGGGAUAUCCUAAAAAUUGUCCUUAGUGCUUUGCAUGGCUCAUUUCCAUAACUCAUCUACUGGGGGCGGAGACUGUAAGCUGCCUGCAUGCCUUGCCUAUUGCAUGUCUGCAAUGCAUGACGCCUUCCGGCCUCCCGCAGACGACUAUCCUGACGAUUUUACGGACAUAUCUGACGACCAAGACCUGCCAUUACCGGUGAGAAGGCUAACGACGACAGCCAGGAAUGGACAGCUUCCAGACCUAGCUAAGGAAUACUCGUACAUUUGCCGUGGUGACUAAACAGGGUCUUGACGCGCCUCCAUCAGUGUUGCUUUGGGAAGGAGGGGAUGAUUGGCGACUGCCGGGCCUCGUGCAGCAGGUAUGCCCUCUGUGUUCCUGAGCUCCGUGGGGAUAGGAUGGGGUUACGUUACACGUUUCCCAAGCCCACGACUAUCCUGCAACCUGGCACAUCGUCUGCAUACUUUACAGACUUCACCAUUGGCUCCACUAACACCUUGGCAAUGGAGAGACUUUGGUGCCCAUGUCCGUGAGGCGACCUGUUCUUUAACCGGACUUUCAGCUAAGGACCUCCCGUCCCUGGUGGCAAUCCCCGCCUCGUCUCGCACUUCAAGGAGCAGUCAGAAAGCGCUAUCAACGGUGGCAACGUGGACGACGGCGAGUUCCCCUUCAGGGUAGGCGUCCGGGGGACACGCCCGUCUGCUGCGGCCGCAGCCGGAGCCCCGGCUGCAAUCGACUCACACCAGCGGGACCCGUGGAUCAUGCAGCUCGGCACGGGGGAUUCAGGUCCCAGCAGUCCCAUCGCGUCGGGGCUCACGCAGGCGCGCUUCACUGGCAGUGCUAGUAUUGGGGCCGGCAUGGCGCCGCUGCGAAAUACCUCCAUCACAUCCGGGCGGUCGCUAUUCGGACCCUUCGGGUGCAGCAGCCUGCAGCACCGGGACUCGCUGGGAACAACGCAGCCGCACCCGCUGGCGCAUUCAGGGCAGCAUUACCAACACGUUUUGCCACAACAGGCGCCACGCCCCCCUCAGUCGCCGGUGCAGCAGCGGACACAGACACUCACAUCUGAGCAGCAGCAGCGGCCAAGGGACCAGGGCCGAGACCGGCCGAGCCGUACUGAUGCUACCCUGUCGGAAGUGGAUGAGGCCAGUGGCGAAGGCGACGAGGUUGGGGCCGAACGGGGCGGUGCUGACAGGGAUCCUUGGUCGUACCUCGACGCGGAUCCGUUUGUACUCGCCGCGUCGUCCUCCUGCUCCUCGUCCCUUUCCGCGAGCCGUGACCCCAGCCCCCAGCCGCACCCCGCCGCGUCUACACAGCCGUUUCCUAUGCCAUUUGGCAGUCGCGUCAACGGCCCUCGGCCGUGGUAUGAGGAGCCACAAUACGAGCGGCAUUUGGGGCUGGGGCUGGGCCUGGGGUUCGAAUCAGGGCUGGGCCAGCGCAGCAGUGGCAGUUACGGGGCGCGAGGGCUAAUCGAUGAAGAGGAGGACGAGGAGGCGCAGGAGCAGGAGGGCCAGCCGCGCGGGCUCGGUCGAGAGCUAGGCUCCUUCGGGGUGGAGCUUGGGGGGGGGGAAGGGCCGGCUGCGGAUACCCCGCACGGCAGCGGUGGCAGCAGCGAUAGUAGCCACAGCAGCUGGGCUGGGCAGCCCGGCCUUGACCCCGAGUAUGACGGGGCAGGACCGAGUGGCAGCCAGCCUGCUACCACCAUCACGGUUCUGUGGCCUCUGGGUGGCUCCAGGGAUGUUCUCCAUGGCGUCAGCGGUUCGCGGCUGCCGGCAGGGAUGGCGGCCGGGGAGACCAAUUGGGCUCUUGGGAGUUCGGGAGGGGAGUUGCGGCACCGGCACGCAAACCGGGCCCGGGCAAGCGAGCAGAGCGACGGGUGGCGACCGCCACAGGAUGGUGCUGGCACGGAGGAGCUGCAGGCGUCCAUCGGGGGUGAGGUUUGCGGGGUGGGGUUUGGCGACGCUGAGGGCUUCAUCUGCGCUAGGGGGAGGCCAGGGCCGGGGGGCCGCAAGUGGCCAUCGCACUUUUGAGUAUUGGCAGAUGCACCGUCUUCGUGUCCGCGUUCAUUCCAUCCUGCAAAGCUAGUUGGUUCCCACAUUGCGACAUCGGCUGAUCCUACCCAUCCCCGCCACACAGGCACCAGCAGCUCGGCUCUUCGGCGCGCUGAAGAGCCCUCCUGGGAGCACCAGUACGGGGGCGGCCUGGGCGCCAGGAGCAGUCUGGGGCUCAGCUAUGGUGGCAACAGCAGCCCCACACAUCGUUAUGGUCAACGCAGCACAUUGGCGGACAGCAACCUCAGCAGCGGCCUCGGGCCCAGCCAGCCAGCCCUCGCAUCCGCCGGCUUCAGAGGCGCGACACCUAGCGGCCUCAGGGUUUACCAUCCUAACGGUUAUAGCAAUGCUGGCGAGCAUGGCGCUGGCGGCGGCGGCGGGCUUGGAGGCGGAAACGGUCUUGGUAGCGCCGGCGGUACAACUCUGUGCUUCACGUCGAUCGACUCGCCGUCCGGGCCGUACGACCGGCGACAUGUUGUGCUGAGGUCAGCGCAACGGCGCAACACCGAGGCCUCUACGCCCAGCGUACGGCAAUACAGCGACGGGCUGGCGGGCAUGCUAACCAAUGCACAGAUCCAGGAAUGGAUGAGCCAGCACGCAUCGCGGUUGCUGCUGCCCAGGCACAUGCAGGAGAUUGCGGACAUUGUCUUUCGGCCGCCCAGCGCGGUGCCAGAGAAAAAGUGCGUGCGUUCUGGUUUGGUUUUGGCGAGCCGUGGGACGUGGGUUUCCAUUUCAGCAUGCUCUGUCGAGGAGCGCGACUGAGUCACACUUCUGCAGCACGGGAACGUGGUCCUGGGCCGCCGCGCUGUGCUGCCUGUUGCGCCGUGUGGAUCGCGAAAGCCGGCUCUUGCAUUCUGGUCGUUGCAUGUUGUCCUCCCGUCCCUGUCGGGGAACAGGACACCCCCUUCUCAUUCCGCCUCCCGACUAGUUUUGACCCGACGUAACGGGGCCCAUUGCAAAGGCAUACCCGACACCGACCAUACUUAAGCCAGGCCCCGAGGCUAUUCCUGCUGUGCCUUCGCUAGGGACAUUUGCCGGUUCGUUAGACUACGCCAACUCGCAUCACAUCACGUAGUCUUACCGCAACCCUUCCCAUUACCGGAACUUCCUCGCGACGGCCUAUCCGGUCCCCCCCUAUCCGCUUCACUCGUUCAUGGUUCGUCUUCCCCCUUAUCCGUUCCCCAGGCCGCUUAAGCACCAACCCAGUGGCGUCACCACGUUGCCACCGCCGGUGGUGCUGGGCGGUCGCUACCCUCCUCUUCACGUGAGCCGCCUAGCCAAUGACGCGGCCUUUAUAUCGGGGCUCCUGGCUUGCCUCAGCGGCGUGGACCCCGCCAACAGCCGGGUACAGGCAGUGAUUACAGCGCUUCAGGGCAAGGACGUGGUGGUUAUGGAGGAGGCUGAGGGAGGCGAGGGCGAAACGGCUGGGAGAUUUACGCUCACUAAGAGCCUCCGGCCGCCUUCACGAAUCCAGCCCAAGUAAGCUGGUGCGCGCGGGGAACUACGCUUCCCUGCGGUGCCCUGCGCGUACAGCGUGUACCAGUAUUUCAUACGAGGCCAUAUGCCGACAUACUUUACCCGGCGCAGUAUGGAGCUAUGAUCAGCGCAUGUGUGCUGCGUCCGUUGUGUCGGGCGCUGGUGCAUUUUUUGACUUCCGGAGCAUUUAUUCAUGCGACAGCAGCAGUAGGCUGGGUCGUGCGGGCUCCGGGGUGUGUGAGCCGCAUACGCCAUUGCACCGGCUGCGUGAUGGGGACUGCAUCGCUGGUGGGCUGUGUUUCGACUACGGGGUUGUCGCCGCGUUGGCCAAAUCGACACAAUGAACAGUUUGGCCAAUUGAAGGAGCAGACAUGCGGCAAAGCGUUAAUAGGAAAUCAUUGAUGCUGGCGCCACUGUCCGCCGGCUUUGCGCAUGGCGUGCUUAUGUCAUUACGAGGUAUGAAUGCCUGUAGUGCGAGAGAUGAUGCUGGGAAGGCGGCCAACAGGCCGGAUGGGGACGGGGAGCAGCAUAUUUGUGGAUGCACGAAUCGGGAGGCAGGUCGGUUUCUAGCCAAGAGAAAAAGCUAAAAACCGGUUCCGCGGGCAUCGGAAUGCAUUCUCCUGGAAGUCGUGGAGUAAGUCGUUGACCUGUAGCUUUUUUAAGGUGACUUUGCGUGGGAUUAGUGGGAUGGCAGUGAGUGGGCUGCCGUGCCCAGGUGCACGUGCGGCCCAUACGGGCGGUCGGCUGUGCGAAAUAAGUUACGGCUUGAGUUGCGGGCGUCUCAUGUGUACCUACCUGCACAUGAGCUCUCGCGAGGGAGGCGGGUUGGACCUUGCGCAUGAAUGCGAUCUGGUUGUGAAUGGCAGGGGUAGCUUGUUGCGUCUUGCAUGCUGGCGCUGGAACACUGUCGCAGCGAAUGAGCUAACGUAGCGGUCGAGUGUUUGUUCAUCUUGACCUAAUUAAGGUCCUUCCGGAAAUCUCUGCUUGCAGCUUAGGAUUGCGCUGUGUACGGGUCUCCCCCCAUAGCAGGUUUUGCACGUGGAGGACGCCUCGUAGGAAUAGUGCGAUAGAUGCGAUCGGCUUUGGAACUUCAAAGACCGGUACAUAAUUAUGUUCUAAGGUUGUCCAAGUUAUGGCAUACGGCAGCGGCCUCAGGGUGCGGUGUAGAACUCUUCAGCGUCAUUUCUUCUGGAAGGCGAACGGCCUUCCCCAGUCGCUUCCCCCCGAGAGAAGCUGGUGUCACUUAGCAAAGAUGUGAAGGGUGGUAGACAAGGAGUGAACAAGCGGUGGGGUACGACAUACGCGACCUCAGUGCGGUGUGACACUCCGGGCAUAGGCCGACGGCUUCAGGGACAGGGUGGAGGGCGGUCCGAUCGUACAGCGCAUGCGCACUCGUUACCAUGAUCAUGUUCGUCUUCGACUUCAUUUUGCAUUGUCUUUGGAUGGUCAUCUCGUGUACACUUGUCAUAUCAGGGUAUCCCCGCAAGCCUAGAUGGAACCCCUCCCCCAACGAAACACGCGCGGCAAAAUGCCGCAGGACUCUCGACCGAAUUUAGAAACGCGGACAAAUUCCUCUUAAUCGUCCAAACAACAUUUAAUAUCAAUUUGCCAUGAGUCCGCAUUGAAUAUGUGACCUAUCCUGUGAAAGACACAUAUCUGCCGAGGCAGUGCCCAAGGGCAUCCCCCUUUCCACAAGUGUAACUAAAAGUUUUGUCGCGAGGCAUGCAACUCGACAUCCCCGAACUCACGUCCAUCUGUGGGAAUAUGUGUACAUCGUUGCGGAGAUGCUCGUCAGCUGCGUCGAAGCACAUGCCGAAAAGCCACGCAUGCAAAUAUGGGAAGCGGCCGUGUCCGCGGUCACAACCGAGCCAGUACAAGUUUAUCAAGUCUUAUAGCAUCACCCAAGUUCUCGCUAGUCAAACCGCAGUCACAAUAAGCUUCGAGCAACCAUUCCAAUGUGCGCGUCAGUUUGCGCCCAUGAGCGCACAUCCAGUUUCCAAAGCUCCAUGCUGCCCUGAAUCCCCUACACGCUGCACCCCAACACUACCAGUAGCGCGACCCAUGAAGAAGCCCGCAUACGACGGUGCUGCAGAAUGCCCAUACACUGGCUUUCGAAAGGGAUGCAUGCGACAGGUCCACAUCUGUCACUCGCCGCACUGGCGCCAUCAUUGCGUUUCCUUUCCAGGGUAGGCCUGGUGGUGGUUGUGGUGGUUGCUGUAGCUUUGAUCGUUCUGAUUGUGGUGCUGGUGCCUCUGGAGCUGCUGCUGCUGCAGAGUUUUCUGGCCGCGGGCAGCAAUGGCGGCCUUGGAGGGGCGCCUGCCCUUACGUUGCGCUGGUUUGCGUUGGAAAAGAAAGGCCAGGCCCGCUGCCACUGCACCUAGGAUGGGCGCGCUCCAAAACACCAGGUAAUGUUCCAGGUCGUUUUGUCGCUUGUAAUGAAGGUGCCAGGAAAAGCUCUGGGAGGUAGGGCGCAUUGUACCGGGACACGGGGAAGGCGUUAGCGAAUCAAGCACCCCGAUGUUAAAUUGGCAGAUCAACAUGUCACCUACUUGUUGCCGGGCUGGGAAUUCAUCAUGACAGCAGGCAGCGCGCAACCGCGUAUGCCGGAUGAGGGCGAUAUGAGAACGACUAAACUGCUUGGCACUCCGGAUGCGCGUUUCUUGCAGCGGCGGCUAUGUCAGCUCUGGCACGCAGCCUCUACGUUACCCUGACAGCUGUACUCGUACUCACCACAAAAGGGUUCAGAGAGGGUCCCGUAAAGUAAUAGCCAAUCCAACUCUGGUCAAGGGCACGUAAUAGGGCAGAAAGGGGCCAGUACGUGCCUUCACUUUCAGUACUUCAGGACAGCGCGAGCCUCAUAGCAAGUACGGCCAUAUGGUUAGGGGCCCUCGCUUGCCAGGUAAGGGUAACAAUAUGGGACCAUGCCUCUUGGAGCGAAAGGUGCUCCCCAUUUGCAGAAGACACUUCGAACCCACACAUGCAUGGGCCAAGGGCAAAAAAAGCUAUAGAACUGUAUAGCAAGCAGCGAUGUGAACCCAGAAACGAAAGGAAAGCCCCAACUUAAGACUACUAUGCAGCUUUCCAUUGGUUCCGGGAUUGACAGCCGUACCAGGGUGACAGUGGACAGCAUGGGAGUCCACAACGUCAGCAAACGACUGUCCGCCUCUGCAGUCAGGAACGCACAGCCCAGGAGAUGGGUUAAACUCGCUUGCAAAAGACCCCGUCACACCGGGAUCAUCAUACCGUGUGGAAGGUUUGCAACUCUGCAUGCAACAAUGAGGUCAUCAAUCUCGUGUGGCUUACAAUGGCAGCAAUUCGCAUCAGCUAUGCAAAACCUGGGCUACGUAGGUAGCUCCGUCCCGUGUAUUUAAUUGAUUUGAAGACUUUUCGGCCUCUCUCUCCCUUUUUCUCUCACUUCUCCUUGAUCAGUCGGCACAAGCACAGAGAACGAAGCUGGCCCGAGCAAUUGCCGAGAGCACGCUAGCUUUUUGGAGCUCCAUGCAGGUGCCUAUCUCGCUUCGUUCAUUCACAUUCACCCAGACCAGCAUAUUCAUCUGCCUUGACCUUAUUUCGGGUCAUGUCGAUAGAGAAGUUCAUAGCUUAGAGACCCGGCACUCGUCGAGAACCCGUGGCUCACCUUGCGAUAACAAAAAGACAUAGUUCAGCACAAAGCUCAUGGUGCCUUCGCAGGCAAACCCGAUCUCAAACGCGACGCCAUCCUUGAUGCCCCCGGACAAAGUGUGAAACUUCCUGCCCGUGCAAAGGAGAGCGCAACCAGGGAAAAUUGGGGCGGGUCACACACGGGGUGGUCCUAUGUACUUCUGAGAAUUGGGAUGCUGGAGUGGUGCCAAGGUAAUGGGGCGCCGUUAUCUUUAUAUAUCAUAUCAACCAGCCAAUUAUCACCUGCUGUUAAGGUUGUCCCGCGUGAAAGGAAGGCUAGAAGCUUCAUCCCAACUGCAAGUAAUUAUUCUCCGCAAUAGCACGCACACUAGGGACUCAGGAUAUGCAGCAAGCUGCGCGGGCCGCGUUCCACGCCAAGGUGCUUGCGCAGGUUCCACCUUGCAAGUUGCUGCCCGUGCUGAGCCCCUUUGUCGCUUCUCCCAUUGAGUCUGUGUCUCACCCCUGGAGCCAAUCGGGUAAGUAUGUCUUAGCCGCCAAGCUGCCAGCAAGUGCACCUGCCAGCUGUGCCCCCUGCAUCACGAUUGCGGGGAUACGUUGCGGUGAACAACGUAAGGGUGCUUUGUAAAGGCGCACUAAAAGUAAUUCGGCCGGUGGCAUGGGGGUUACGCAAACGUAGGCUCUGCAUAUCGCCCAUUCCAUGAUUGAAAUACGCCGAAGUAUCGCAGGAUUAGGUUUUGUAAGGGACGUAGAAGCUCACCAUGCGCAACAGGUGACCAGCUAUGCUACCCUUUCCGCUACUCAUAAGGGCAACGCAGUGGAUCGGGUUGAACAGCGCGCCUCCGAAGGACUCGCACAGUGGACCGAAGAGGGUGAGGGUCGUAACCAGGACUCCAAUACCAAGCACCAGUUCAUCCAUGCCAGUGUACUUGGCCAGGUAUCCAGAUGCCUGGAGCAGCGCAUGAGCGCGAGGCAUCCGAAGAACGAGGGGAGGAAGGCAGGACGCGGAGACUGUUUCGCGGAGUACCAGGGUCUUUUGCUUGUGGCCAAAGGCAGCGAUGCAUGUCAAGCAACCCAACCACCGGCAAAUGCACAGACCACGUCUCAAUGCACAAGCGCGCGAGGAGCUAGGGGUGGAGAGGGAGGGAAAGUGCGUGGACGGACAUACCUCAGCGAAGCAACUCGACGCCAUGACCCACAACGCCGUGACCAUGAAGUCGCCAAAUACGAGCACCGGCAGACUCCGUUUGCGCGUAUCAUUCUCCUCCGGAAGACCCGCGGCGGCCAUGGUUCUAACUUGUUCGCAGCAGCAAGCCUAGAUCUGGGGCAAGUUACGCUGUGGGAAGGCGCUUCACAGACUGCAAGUAGAGAUAGCUCGCAUUCUCAGAGGGCUGAGUUCCACCGAGGACCGUUGUGGAGUUAUCGGCUGGGCUCCGGUUAGACCCUCAUAGACUGUCGACUCUUACUUAACUGUCAGAAGCAUACCACCCAUCAAACAUCCUAAUUAGUAUGAAUGUUGUUUGAAGGGGGCUUCAGUUGUUGCCGUACUCCGGCAUAUUGUAUUCUCUGUCCAAACCGAUGCAGCGUUGAGCAUGGUUAGGGACCCACUUAAUAACAGGCAAUUUAGUUACUUAACGACCGUCGGUAGCAGUUAUUAGCCUGCCAUAUAUUCCGUCUAAAGGCGAAGGCGAGGGUCUUCGAACCAUGGAGCCCAUGAGCCCAUUAGGAAAGAUGACAGUUGUAGAACUCAAGGCAGAGCUUAAGGCGCGAGGCCUGAGUGAAAAGGUGUGUUCUGACCGUUUCUUUGGUCCAGCCAGUUUCCCAUCUUGACCAGGGCACCACUGCUAUUCACUUAGGGUGUCAAAGCGGAGCUUGUGGCUCGGCUUCAAGAAGCUCUUAGCGCCACGGAACAAGAAGCUUCACCGGCGGCGGCGGACCCUGUGGCGGAGGGCGGUCAGCCAGAUCCGGCGCCGACCGAAUUACAGCCGGAGGCCGCGGGCGCAUUUGCAGCCGAACCUAUGGAUGCCGAAGCGAAUGCCGCGAAUCAGUUAGCACCAGAUGCAGCAGACGUGAAGGAGGAACCACUGGAAGAAGAGGUGCGAAAAAGGACACGCAUGAGCAAAGCUGCACAUGUUAGCGCGUUUUUAUCUUUCGGCACGUUCCUACAGGCUGCUGCAGUGGCAGCGGCUGCUGCGGGGGUAGAAGCGGACGCGGUUGCCGAGCCUACGGUGAUGGGGCAACCGACUGACCUCGAGCAGCCCGAGACGGAGGUGACUAAUGAGGAAACGACAGAGAAAGAGAUGGUGGAGCCCUCGGGCGACAAUGUAAUUGAAAAGCAAAAGUCGCCGGAGCCAGCUAAGCAGCCAGAUUACGGGCCCGAGGAGUGGGAAACUAUGGACAUCCCCGAUGAGUAUCGGCCUUUGCCUGUCUUACGUGUAAGUUUUUAUUUAGGUGCAGCAAUAAUGGAAAGUAUAGAUCUCGUUUAUGCUGAGGGUUUGCGUGAACCUGCAGGUGCGUAAUAUUAAGCAAGAAGCAAAGCCUGAAGACGUCAAGAAGGCUUUUGAGGACGCUGGUGUUCCUGUCCAUAGCGUGGAUUUCGAUAACGUUGAGCGCAACCGGCAUGUGGCUCUGCUCCGGCUGGCUCCUCCUCCGCUGCCCUGGAAACUUAGCAAGGAGGAGCUGGAAAAGAACCCGCUUGACGAGGCGUUGAAGAAGUACAUUGAGCGCAAAGAGAAGGAGGCACAGGAGGCUAAGGCAGCCGCCGAAGCGCAGAAAGCAGCGGAGGCGGCCGCGGCGGAGGCAGCUGCCAGGGAGGCAGCUGCUGGGGAAUCGGCUGCCGGUGAGCAGGCGACGGAUUCAGCAGCAGCGGAGGCGCAAGGUUUGGGAGCUGUGCCGGAAGGCGACAGCCCCGCGACAGCCGAUGCUACUGCGGGCUCUGCGGAAAUGUUCAAGGAGGCAGCAACAGAGUCGGAAGCAGCUGGUCCAGCAGAAGUCGUCAAGGCUGACGUCCCUGAAGGCAAUGUCCAUAAGCCAGAAGUCGCCAUCUCAUCGGAAGACGUCAGUCAGGCUCUUGCUGCAGGGGUAGAGGGAGGCGCCGCGCCUGCGGAGGGUGAUGGCGAGAAUCCCGCGGCCGAGGAUGCGAAGCCCGUGGAGGCGGACAAGGAGCCUGCAGUUGCCAGCGGUGACAGCAAGUCGGCAGCGCAAGCGCCGUCACACCCUGUGACCACGUCGCACCCACCCGUGGUACUUCACGUCGAUGACGGGCGAUCGGAUGGCGACGUGCUUAAAGUUGCUCGCUACACCGCCAUGCGCCUUAAUGCAUUGUCCUACCCAUUGACGCUUUUCGGUGACCGCCUCAUGGUUGAUGCGCCGACGCUCCAGUGCACCUUGUUCCUGGGGAACGUAACACAGGACAGCGACGAGCAGCUUAAGGCUGACAUGGCGGCGCUAGGUCGCGUCAUUCGCUGCUUCAUCAUGCGCGACGCUUCUAGGGUUUCGAAGGUGGGUGGGCGCGUGUAACGUGCGCAGGCAGCUGAAGCAUGCCCAGAGGUGGCUCACGUUGGGACUCGUUAUAGCGCGGCCCGUUUUUCUUCACUAGGAAUUCCUGAGCACUCAAGCCCUUGCACUUGGCUAAGAUCGAUUUUACUGACCUUCGGUUUAAUCUUGGCCGUGGAAGUUUUGCUACCGUGCUCGUAGCUAGCGUAGGCUGAGUGGUGUAAAGUAAUGACGGUGUUGGCUCCGGCCGGAAAUCUCAUGUAAACAGCUUUCCAGUCUGUUUGCCACUCCAUUUACGUUGUGCUUUCGGUUUGCUAACUAAACUCCUAACUUCUUGUUUUAUUUUCAUGUAGGGGUACGCAUAUGUUGAGUACGCCACUCCUGCGGAGGCGCUCAAGGCCAAGGAGUCACUGGAGGCGCAAAGCCGCAAGGCCUUCCAGGACAUGAUGGCAACAAAGAAUGAUCUCCAGCGCCAGCGGGGGCGCUCAGCGAGCAGUACACCGAAACCGGCACCUACAACACCCGUCGAGGAGGUUAAUACGGAGGCGAAGGGUGAGAAGAGCGGGGAGGCGCCGGCAAGCAGUGAGCAAGGGAUGGGUGAGAAGCUCGAGGAUGGAAUGGCCGAGGAGAGGGAGAAGGCUGAAGGCGACAAGCCACAAGGUGAAAACACGCCUGAAGCAACCGAUGUCCCUGUUAAGGACGAGCCGGACACGGAGAUGAAAGACCAAGGCACUGCUCCCACAGCUGAGCUUGCGGAAGGGCAACUUAAGGAUGAGAGCGCGCCUGAGUUAAAAGCGGAAGAAGGGGCGGAAAGCGUGGAGACUGGCGUUCCAGCUGGGGAACAGCAGCAACCGAAAGCUGAAGAGAAGGUUGAAGAGGGCGACGGCAAGGACACGCCGUUGAAGCACCCAUCUCACGCAAGCAAGAUCAUGCGGGCAGAGCUGACCAACAUCAGGCGCGUCCAGGACCUAUUUUCGCGGAAUUUGUACCUGGCCAGUUUGCCCAUGGUGAGCGCGGUGAAAGGAUUGAAUACCGUUUUACAGGCAUUGCCCCACCGGUACAUAUUAGCACCGGCUUGCAGUUUCACACCUUGUCAAACAUGGUUUACAUGUUGGCCAGUUAUGGCGAUUAUUGAUGCUGCUCUAACACAGCUUGCUGUUCCGUAUGCAUGCAUUAAUCAAUUGUAUCAGCGUGUCAUCAUGUCAUGAUGUAUUAUUCGGCUUGUCUUGGGCUUUGUCCUGAUGCACAGUCCUUCAGCGACGAGGACCAGCUUCGCAAGGUGUUUGGCGAGUUCGGCCCUGUAGUGUCGGCGUCAAUCACCCGGGGACCGCAAGGCUACUCCAAGGGCUUCGGUUUCAUCGAGUUCCUGCGCCCGGACCAUGCUGCUGCGUAAGUUCGUUACUUUGCAUGUGGCUUUCGCUUACAGCUUUGCCAGCCCGCCUUUCCGCUUUUAUCAUAACUCGUUUUAUUCUCACAUGUCCUGUCCACACCUGUCACUAUCAUCAUGCAGCGCGAUGGCGGCCCUGGACGGCAAGGAGGUGCCAACACUUGGGAAGCUGGCUAUUUCGUUCGUCAACCCUUCGAAGCAGACGGACCGCAGGGGUGGUCCCCAAGGUCCCGGAGGCCGAGGCGGACCACAUGUCACGGGUGGUCGGUACGGGUCUAGUGGUGGGCCAGGGCGAGGUGGAAUGAUGACGCCUGGCUUCCGCGGUGGUCCUCACAGCGCACGCAAUGCACCGUACUUCGCGGGGCCAGGGCGGGGUGGUUACAUUCCACCACCACCGCCUCCCUACGGCAUGAGUCCAAUGUCGCGCGGGGGUCCUGGAUCCUACGGUGGCCACGGUCGUGGCGGCAUGAUGGGCCCUGGUCGUGGUUACGGCGGUGGUUAUGGAAUGGGGGGAAUGGGGAUGGGCAUGGGUGGUGGGUAUGGCGGUUACGGUGGUGGGAUGAUGGGUCGUGGCGGGCAGGGUGCAGGCGGUUAUGGUGGAGGGUAUGGCGGUGGCUACGGUGGUUAUGGGGGCUAUGGGGGCUCUCGCGGUGGGCAUCAGCAUUCUCCACAGGGCCCUCGUUCUGGGUACGGUGCUGGUGGCGCGUCAGGAGGAACCAGCACCGAUCCCGCUUCGCCGGGUUAUGGUGGUUCUGGGUACGGCGCCAGUGGUGCGGCGCAGCAGCAACAGGCGGUGACUUCUACAACUGGUGCGGCGACCAGUUAUCAGGGUGGUGCGUACAGUGCGGGACAGGGUAGCGGGGCUUACGGGGCUCAAGCCUCCCAGUCGCAAUACGGUAAUCAAGGCACCGGAUACAGCAGCCAGACCAGCUACGGUAGCCAGGGCACUGGUUACGGGAACCAAACGGGGUAUAGCAGCCAGACCUCAGGUUAUGGUAGCCAGGCCAAUGCUUAUGGCGGCCAGCAGCAGGCCCAAGGAACCACUGGCUAUGGUAGUCAGCAGCAGCAACAAUCAAGUUACGGCAACCAACAAGCGGCUGCAGGCACCUACCCCACGUCGUAUUCCGCGCCUGCACAGGUGAGGUUUGAGUUGAGGUUUGCAUUAUAUGCGAUUGCGAAGCUAUUUCCGAGUGGUUUCCCCGUAUUUGUGAUGCUUUAUGCGUACUCAUAUGAGCAUGUCGUACACUAACUAGGUACCUACUUGCCCAUGGCGCCUAUCCUCAUGUUCAGACUUACGGUGCGAAUGGCUACGCUGGGGCUAGUGCCACUCAAGCUCCCGCAUCUUCGUACACCACAACCUCAUCAACACCGGGUUAUGGAGCGCAACAGCCAACAACGGCGUACGGUGCCCAGCAAGCGCAAGGAACAACUAGCGUGUAUCCGACUGCUUACGCUUCUGCUGGACAGGUAGGACUUUUGGCGCCGAGUUGCUUGACCCUCUGUCUCUACGGCUGUUUGGGUAAUAUGAUGAGGAGGGAUUCCAUAAGGCAGAAUCAACCGCCUUGGACUGCAGUUCUUAUGGCGUGGUACAGUGUGGUAAUGGUGGAUGGUGUUGUAUGGUUCAAUUCUAGAUACGCCAAUUCGAAUGUGUUCAAUUGGCACAGAAGCCUCCCACUCUGUAACAACAACAGCCAGUGGCGCGAUAGCUUUUAAAGGGAUCUAAAGCCAGGAUUUGCAAAUGAUUUACAGGCCUACGGUGCUGCGGGUGCUGCCGGACAGCAGGCGGGCUACGGUGCAACUACGCAAGCAGUCUCAGGUUAUGGUCAGGCAGCACAGCAGCAGGCGGGCGGUUACAGUGCGGCUACUGCCUACGGUGCUUCAGCUGGCACCUCUUACGCAGGCUAUGGCCAAGCAACGGUGAGAAUUAGGCCAUGUUGCAUACCAGUUAUGUGUGUCAUGCUCUUGCGCAUACAGGUGCAAUUGGCCGCAGUUAUGCAUUCAAUGUUUUGGUAUGUUACCAGAGUGUUGUGCAUUGGCGGUCGCAGGGGUAUGGAGCGUCCAGUCAGCAGGCUACCGGGGCCUACGGUGCAGCUGGGGCUGCUUACGGACAGCAGCAGCAGGCCCAGCAGGCGUAUGGAGUUUAUGGGCAGCAGGCAGGCGCCUAUCCAGCCCAGGCAUAUGGACAGCAACAACAGGUCGGCCAGAAACGUGACGGCGAUACAUACGCGGCCUACAGUGCAGGUUAUGGUGCGGACUACAACAAGCGGCCGCGCUACUGAAUGAGGCGCUAGUGCUAUCACUGUCCCCACCAUCCACCUCGGCAUGCGGCCCUUGUGGGACCAAUGUUACCUAACCAAAACUACUAUUACCCGUAGUUGGUCGAGUAUUUGCAUGCUUAAGUACAGCAGGCGUGUCUCAGAAUGUUUGUCCUAAGGGUUGAACAAGUUGCAGCAUGAAGGAUAAUGCCCUCCCUCGUCGGUGUGUGGGUCGCUGGCGAUAAGUGCGGCCCUGUUCGCGAGCACGCUCCCCCAGAUGAAUCUGUAUAGGUCUUGCGAGCUUCCGCAUCAGGGAUGAGGGAGGGGUUUCUGAGCGAGAGUGGAUCUGCCAAGGGUUUAAAGUUGGCAUUGCACGCGCAAGCUUCUGUCUGUUCGCUACAAUCUAAGACAAUUUUUUGGGUUUUAGUUUGUGCCGGUCUGGAAUAUGGGCCGCACGCAACUAGAAACGGGGACAACAGCCAUGAUUGGCAAUUUAGAUUGCUCUUGCGGGAGCCCAGAAUGCCCCGCACGCGGGAACGAUUGGAUGAAAUGAGGAAUGGCGUUACCGUUGCAUGCGAAGGUCCGUCUUCAAAAUGUGCUUUGGCAUGAGUUCCCAACUGAAGGGGCAUGACCUUACUCUGCAGCUGGGCGACGCGUAGUUUAUGGAAUGCGCUGUGUUUUGGGUGCGCAUUGCAAAGGGAGACGUCCGGUGAAGCGAAGUCUACAGCAAGCGCGUAGUGCGCAUCAUUACAUUGGUUCGAACAGCAUCGUUUGCCGUCAUACCCAAAGCGACAUUGUGUACAUGCGAGAUGGGGGCAAAGUGGAGUUGCCGCCAGCAGAUGUCGAGAGGUCCCGAUUGCCGGUGUCCUCUUUACUCACCCCGCAUUCCCGCUUACCAUACGUAUAUUUUCUCCCCGACAUGCCCGUGCCGAGGAAUGGAGCAACCUCGGCCGCACAGCGGUGAACCCCUGGAAUCGUCUGGCGGUUCUCAACGGCCGAGCCCUCCUUCAGGUGCAAAGCUUCCAACCUGCGCCCGCAGGGGCCCGCCUGACGCCGGCAGCGGUGCACCAGUAAGACACGGGCUGGGUUCGUGGUAAGAUCGACGGGGGAAACGUUGCAUGACAAACUGAGGGAUUUAUAAUUCUGGCACUUCCAACGGGGGCGCCGUCCGUACCGUAUGUAACAGUCUCCAUACACACGUGCUGUCGAAGCCUGUUUUGGACAUUCAUGGCAGCGUGCGCUGCAGUUGUCACGGAGGCCUGUGCAUAAAGCCCUCCAAGCGGGUUAAGGCGUUGUAAACUUGGACGGAGCAAAGGGUCUGCGUGUCUUCGAGGGGCUAUAACGAAAUUCACCUGUGCGGAGGGUUUCACUCGAAUAUUGCUACGCUGCCAGUGUACGCGGGACGGCGUGAUAUUCUCGGUCGAUUAUCCAAGGUUGUUACAAUCUGCCGACUGCAUACUUUGUUUAUACGAUUUAACAACCCAGAUCGCAGGUUUCGGUGAGUUCGGCACUUGAUGUCCACAUGCCGAACGACAACUUCAAGACGUCUAUUGGGCAACUAUUCCACUCCAUCUGUUUUACUUGGCCGGUUACAUUGUUCUUGGAUACAGGUCGUUACUUGUAGUUGGAAGCAAGUAUGUUGUUUCACUCAAACGAUGUAAAGAUAUUUCUUUGCUUGGUGGCCUGUAUUGGUUUAACUAAACUGUAGGUAGGAAAAGUAAUAAGUUGGGUAGUAUGUUACAUGUCUUACGAGGUUUGUACCAUCUUCCAUUUGUGCCCUACCAGUUGAGGUUACGUAAUAAAUCCGGUAAGAGUUUCAGUCUGUAAUGUACGAAAGGUGUUGGUUGUUUUUCAUUGUUAGAAACAAAGCGAGUACACGUGUAGCGUCAUGCGAUUACACGAUUCUGAAACCAAUUUCGUUUGGGAAAAAUGUCAAAUAAUGUCGUACACAACCAUUCCAUUAAGUUCAUUCCAAAUGACGCAUCAUAUCAUUCCUCCUAAAAUCUGCCAUCGUUAUUAUUACCACCACCCCAUCACCACCCCGUUACCCCAUCACGCUAGUACGUCUUAGGCAUACUUGCUAUCCCCGAUGAUAUGCCCGCCGAAGAAUGGCGCCACCUCAAAGAUCAACUGCUGAUACUCAACCGGUGCACCGUCCUCCAAAUGCACCUUGACCAGCUCGCCGGCAAUCGGCGCCUGCAAGUGCAUAAAACGUAGUUAAUCAACAAAUGUAUCAUAUUGAAACACAUGAUGUCGUCGUCGUGCACAGAGCGACGUGCCACGUUGCAAAAAAUGACGUCUAUAACGUUGUUAUAUAGAGUUGACAACUCACCUUAACUUCCACGAAAGUGCCCAGCUGCUCCACGUACCCAAGUGUCUGACCCUUCUUAACUGGCGCGUUCUGCGAUCACGCAACACAAUUGUUGCGCAUACAUUUCGAAACACGGUUAACACGACGGCUGGGGAAUGAAAACCGGUCCUCAUGCAGCCUACGUUAAUCCCUAUACGCCCUCAAAUGCAUACCUCCUGUGUUCCCCUGCUCCGUUCAGCGCCCCGCACCUCCCACAAUAAUUUAUGCUUACUCUUCAGCCCAGCUUUGUUUCAUGAGAAUAAAGCACUGCACCUAUCGAAAGUAGCUGUAGGUAGCUUAUUCAAUGCCAGCGGCUUGGCUUCAACAGUCUAUCGUCCUUUGGUACAUCAGGAAAACGCGCGGGGAUCACACCCCCAAAGCAACGUGCAAGUAGGCAAAGGGUCUUACAACGGCAGCCGUGCCAAGGCAAGUGGAGGUAGCGUGUAGCCGCGACACCGGGGAACCGUGUUCUACUUACCACAUCGGCACAGUUGCCCUUGCCCACACGCUUGCCGCCUGCAUACUUUCCACGCCGGAACGUGCCAACCUGCGCGGCAUAUUCUUGGAUAUCAUCAUAGUGUCGACACUAACAACUACGUCUAAACUUUGACCUUCCCUCUUCGUUCCCGAAACCACCUGCAAACCCUAACACCCUAUCGUAUGUCAUUUCCUCCAGUGCAUGGCAAGGAACCCCUGCAAGUUUUCAUUCGCAUGUAGUCGUUAUAUGAAGUGUAUGGGAUUGCUUCAGGCAUUACACCUGGGUACAAGGGCACUGGCGUGCGCUGAUAAGUUAUAUUGCAACUUAUGGACAUCUCUGGUCCCCAAAGGAGAGGCCCAACGCAAUACCAAUGCCAGAAACAUGCAGAAACGUUGCUCAGCAUUUGGGCACACGGAGUUAAAGAGCUAGAUGCAAAAAAAAUCAUGUAGCCAAGGCGAGCACCAGGCAACCAAGUGCAGCUGAGUGGUGCCAAGGCUGAGGAGUGGAAGCUAACUAUCAAGGUACCAUAUUAGAGCCGACUCCUUGCCUUCUGCAGGACAGAAUCAUUCAAGAACAAUUUCACCCUCCGCACGUACCUUCGGUGAGGUAACAUACACCAAGCUCUCGUCCACGGUGUCCUCCACGCUGGCAGGUGGGGGCGCCUCAACGGACUGUAGCGGGCUCGACGCAACCACGGGCUCCGCGGGCGUUGCAGGGGCCACAGUAGAGGCGUACAAGGGAGCUGCAGCAGCACUCCCAGCGACGCUGCGCUUGACUUUCAGCUCAAAAUUACCCAUCUGCAGUUAUAUGGUUGACGUCAAAAUCCAACAUUCGAUCAACGUCUGCUGCGCUAUUUUUUAAGGAUUGUGCUGACACUGCAAUGACCUCGCUGGACUCGACUCGUCGCACCUUCAGGUGCAUCUCAGCGAUUUCCGUCUCGUUGCACAACGUAUUGAGGAAGGAAGCCACCUGCGAUCCAAUUCAAGAACUCAGAAACAGAAGUUCACCUAUUAGCCGGCGCUCGAGCUUACCUGCUGGGUGCUGGGGGCAAUAUCGGGUCCAUUGUACUCGUCUUCCACUGAAGCAUAUGUCAAAAGCGAGGAGGAAGCUAGUUGCAGGAUGCUUUUCAUCCAUUUGCUUGCACAAAGCGCAAGCAAUCGUACCCGACACGUCGACCUCCUUUUUGGCCUCUGUUGCCGCUGCCUUCAAGAUUGGCAGACGUGUAGUGAUAGUGGUUCGCACAGCGCGAACAGACCUGGACGCGGCAACGCCAGCAGGCCGCUGCGGCGCACUAGAGCGUGUGAGCAUUUUGGACAGGAAAGCCUACGUUGACGAUCAAGAACUCUGCAGCAAUUGUCGUGCAAUUCAACGUCUUGAUAAAAGUUACGGUGUAUUCGCGCAGUCAUAAGUACGCAGGCGUUACGUUCACAACGCACAUUGCCGUACUUGUGCGCUCUCACAUGGCCAACGCUAGAAGUAAGCCACCAAACCAUCAAUCUGGCUGGUCUUCGGUUUUUGCAUUACAGAUUGGUCCAUCUGAGCAAGGACAUUAUUAAGUGGAAAUAUUCAGUUGUAAGGGCAAAAGAUGCAAGAAUUGUGUUUAACCAUAUGUCAUAGAUAUCAAAUCGAUAAUGAGGGGUAUUAAAUUGGUUGAUAUUCACAGUCAUGAUGGCCGAGUGUGGACCUAGCGGCUCAGCAGGCGUGUGGCAUUAUUAUGCGGCUGUAGGCAACAGAGGGGCCAAGUUGGUGGGUGGAUUGCUGUUGCCAUGUUCCAGAGGCAUUUCGGUGUUGGGAAACCCAAAGAUGUAUCGCUGCUGCUCUAUAUAGAGUUGACACUUGUCCUGCUGCGGUCCGACCGGAGUGAUAUGAUGCGAAACAGGGCUGAAACCUCCACUUUGUAUUAGCUCCGGAGCACGCGUCAUGUAAAGGCGUUCUUAUGCAAGGCAUCCCUUUUACCCCCAAAUGACCUGGUCUUUUCACGAACAAUGCCACGUACAUCCAGCAAACUUCGCGUACGCACGCUCAGGCAUAGCUGCUACUCCUUUCCAACCCCCCUUACGAUUGCCUCCUACACCAUCACCGCUUACCAUCAAUAAUAACAAUCGAAUGUGAUGUGUCUGACGCGGUGGUUGCUACCCCAACUGACAGACAACCUUAGUGGAGCUCCUUCAAGCGCUUCCGGCCGCAUGCAGGCGACCGCUGGCCAUAUGCUGCAGGUGCGCAUGACAAAAGCCUGUGGCACGGUGAGCGGUUCCCUCCUGCUUACCUCCUUGUUGACAGCUACCUAUUUGGGCCAUUCAACCUGAUGUAACUGUAAGUGUCGAGCGGUCGUAAAACCGCUAUCGCCUCCACUGUUGCCGGUCCCCCACAGCGCCAGGGACAGCCUGGACAACCUGGUGUAUUGGCUGCUGCGGAGCCGGUCCUUCGCCGUCACUGCAAUUGUGAGCACCGUAGAGGUCGGGGGGGUGUCUGGUGACGUUGCACUUACCCCUUGGCUUCGUGUCCUUUUAAGAUAGCAGCAACAGCAUUAAGGUGUGUCACGUGUGGUUAAAUGUCCGCAGCUUCACCCUGACUAGAAGUUCGACCUCUCUGGGGCCCGAGGCCAACAGCAGUAGCAGCAGCAGCAGUAGCUGUAGUAGCAGCAGUUGCGUCAAUGAGUUUUUCCCGCCGUGACUACACACGAGUGCACGCAAUCGUGAUGGAAAGGUGCUCCGCUAUGCUCGAUACCUGCCGGGCUAUCAUCCCCACCCUCCGGUGCCAUCUUUGGCGGCACUGGCCCAAGCAUACUGGGCCCCAGCCUGACCGCGCCGCACCCGCACCGACCCACCACACGCAGCACAGCGAUCUGACGGAUAAGGAGAGGGAACUGGCACUGGCGAGCUUCAAGCGCGGGCUGGCUGUCGGAACGGCGGGGAACUUGGGGGUCGGUGGUGUGGCAGCGGCCGAGUUAGCUGGUGGGUGUGCAGGCGGCGGUUGUGACGGCGGAGAGAUAACCAGCCUCGUUGCAAGUUCGUCGUUUAGACGGCCGCGCCGCCUUUUCUUUACUUUUCAAUGCAUGGCAUAGCCGAAUCAUGCACGGGCAUUCUCACGGCAGCAACGAACGGGCGCAACUGCAACUGCGCAGGUGGCCGACCCUGGCCUUCUCAACACCGCCGCGCCUUCGGAAGUUACCUUACUGUGGUUCCUUAAUUCGUCUUAUGCAAAUUACAAUCAUUACUGAUGUCCCGGGCCAACCUUGUUACCCACCUAUCCAUUAAGGCAUGUGUUGAUCCGUUAUGGCCUGGAUCAGCGCACCUAAUUUGCAAAGAUUUUAUCCAUAUCGUUGUACGACACGGUAUCGUAUGAUGGUUCUGCUUCGGAAUGGGGUAGGGGGGCGUUUGGACCGGUACGACGCAGGGGGUAGCGGUGGCGGCCGGGAGCGCGCCGGCCUCGUGGAUGGCGCGGGAUCAAGCAGCGGUGGCGGCUGGGCAGGACCCGGACCGGGACCGGGGCUCGGGCCUGGCCAACAGGGGCCCCCGGGGGAGGCCCUGGUGAGCGUGCUGGCGGUGACGGACGUGUGUCUCAAGGUAGGUCGGGCGCGGUCCAGGUGGGGUUGAAUGGCGGUGAGCUGUGGUGCGUUAGAGGUCUCAGCGCCACGAAGCGCGAACUGCCGAGGACGUGGGGAUGGCCGCCGCUGUUGCCUCUGCUCACCGACCCCUGCUGUUACAUCGGAUAGGGUUAUUGUCUCGUGGGCUUUACUCGCGGGCUUUAAGGAAGGUGCUGCUUCUUCCGGCGUGGCCAACAGCUGCUCAACGCGGCGAAGCCUCGCAAUACAGACCGCCGGUACCGCGGAAAAUGUGCCGCUGUAGCUGACUGCCGCUGUUCCCGUUGUGUCACUGCGACCGCCUGUCCCAGCAGGCGCUGCCUAAGGAGCUCCUUCCCCUGGGGGUCAGCCUGCUGGUGGAGUUUGACCUGCCUCCAUCAAAGGUUGGUUCGUCAUACGUGCGUGCAUUCACUGUGGGCAGCAUGCAUCUUUUAUUGAUUACGGUGAAAUAUACAAAAAUACAGGCAUGUAUAUCACCUGCCUCUCGCUCCCAUAUCACCUCUUUACCACCACCCACAUGUUACCAUCAACCAUCUCGCGCCAAGUCGUCCCGAACCCCUGGCUGGGGCCCGAUCCCACAGGAGGUUUACUCGCGGCGUGUGUCGGCCCUGUUCGGGAGCGGCAAGGACCGGCGGUCGCAGCGGUGCGUGGUGAUCGACAUGGUGGAGGCGGGGGCCAUUGGGGCGUUCCGAACCCUGGAGGGCUUCGCAGCCAGCCCGGUGAUGGAGAUGCCCGUGCGAGUGGAGGACAUGUUUGUGCAGCAGUAAUCCGGGACUGACUGACUGGGGAGCAGGAGCCUUGAGAAACAGACACACAGAGACGGAUAGAUGCGAGGGCAAAGGGGUUCGGAACUGCGGAUAGCUCCGUGCCGGUGCUGAUUGCGGAUCGACGAACAUGCAGCCGGCGCGCAGACGAUGUACUAAUGUGUGGCCAAGGUAUUGGGCAGGAAGGGUAGGAAGGGUUGGAUGGCGGGUGUGCACGAUUGGACUGCGAUCAACUGUAAGAGAAAGAAGUCUUAGGGACCAGGUCGAUAUUCCUUAAUAAUUUGUUUAACCCACCAACAGUCGAACAGUGUUCAAUCAGUGCUGCGGAGGGGUCUUGGAAUGGAUGGCAGUAGGAGAUAUGUAGAGACCGGCGCUGUAAUAAGUGCUUUCAGCGAAUUGUCAGUUUGAACCCACCGUUGAGAAAUAUUUGCGUGAUGUCGGAGUUUCACACGGGGGGCCCAGGUAUGCGUCGUCCGCUUCGUGUAGUGUGGGGGCCGGUACUGGCUUGCUCCUGUGCCAGUCGGGGCCCUAUGAGGUGGUGGCCUUGCAGCCUUUGCUAGCUGCUUACUGCUGCUGUUGGUUCGGCUGCAUCCCAUUACUUUGUUUUGCUCGACUUAAUCAUCCGGUAUUGAAAGGUAAGGUAGGCCUUUCAGCAGCGGUGUGUGUGAGUAUGCUCCCCAUUAGCUCCACCCUCGCGUCAGGUCGCGUGCUUGGACUAGGCUUUCUAGGCCUUGCUGCAGCAGCGCCCAAACAUCCCAGAGCUCAGUUGCAAAAUACUUGUUGGCGCGAAGGUAAAUUGUUCUUUCGUCCACCAACCCCAUGGCUUCAUAAAUCCUUACUUCUGCCUGAUGAAAGGUCGGCCGCUUGGCAGGGACCAUGCAAAACGUUGAUCAAAGCCAUUCACGACCCCAUCCCCCAAUGAAAUGUUCACUUAACAUGGAGCAGACGCAUGAUCCGUAAGGGAAUGCCUGCCUGGCGUAGGGCCAGCGCAGGGAUGGAGGGCGGCAUGCCUUCCUGUUUAGCCAGUCGUCGAUUACGUGCGGAGGAGUCCCGUACACCAUGAUCUCAAACGAGCAUUCUAUUCUCCCCUAAUAUGACGACGGCGACUGUCCUUUUAACUACCGUACGUAUUGCAAGUGCUGCUCAAUAUGUAUUAGAGUCAAGCGACUACAUAGUGUACACAAUACGCACCUAACACCUGCUAUAACACCGCGCCCUGAAUUGCUCCGAACGAGGAAACCCAAUUACUGAGUCCCCCCACUCCCUAACCCACAUCAAUGCAAAGAGAAGAUGGGUACAGUAACCAAGAACGAAGCCUCUGCCCGUUAUCAAAAGCGGUCCGGCGGCGCACGCGGCCCAGGUGGAAGGUGCACCCGAUGUGAUACUCUGUCAUAGCGUCUCUUUCCCGGCGCCGUGCAGCUUAUCGCAGCCAGACCGUCAUAUGAGCUUAUUGGGCGCCGCCCAAGGCAUUAUGCCGCGCUGUGCCCGCCGUAAUCCUCGGCGGCCGAACACAUAAUGCACAGCACACUAGCUUUAUUUCCUGUGUGUUCAGCUGUGGAAACCUCAGACAGUACGCCAUUGCUUUGCCUACCCACCCACCCAACCCAUAGACACCUAACAAACAAGCAUUGCAAUACCCAGCACACAUACAUACUCACACGAGGCGUAAGCCAGUAGCAGGCAUAUCUGCUAUAUCAUGCCAGCCCCCGAAACGCCGCCCUUCAUCCCCCGCCCUUCCAUCACGAGGCUCUGGCCAUUGCGCCCCACGGUGAAGUUUAUAAAGCAGCAAACAAGCUUUCACUUCAAACCACGAAAGUCAAAGCCGACUUCGACCCCCAUCCACAGCUCGCAGGUAGACUUCGGUCCCAUGUGCUUCCCCUAUUUCAAGCCUUGUGCCCGUUGCUUUGUUGUGUCGGCCGCAGCUUGGCCAGAAUCUUCGGGAAAAAAACAGUCGCAUUCUGGUACCAGCCCGGGCGAGCCGCCGCUGCGCCGCCGCCACCUGCACUGCCGCUGCUCGGCCCCGAUGAAUCACUUUCCAGGUCCUUUUUGAUUGGGUCCUCGCGCUUCACCUUGACUGGCUCGUGGUGCCGGUUCACGGGCGCAAUGAUGAUGUUGUAAAAUUGCCAAGCCACAUUCGAAACGACGGCCAGGCCGCCUACGACGGCAAAGAAUAGCACGAAGACCGUGCCGAAGUAUCGUGGCCCUGCGCGGGUACACGAGCGGCGCUUAGGGAGCUGCUGUGCGAUGAAGUCCAUUAGGCGCUGCUACCAGAUCUGGCCAUCAGGUCCCAACCCUUCCAAUGCAAGAUCACAUCAGCUAGGACAAGCACAUGUUCUUAGACGGGUUAAGAAGAGGCCAUGUAAUGUGGGAGGCCAAACAAUAAAGGCAAGGCAAGGCAAGAGAGGGGAGAAGGGCGAAAUACCGUUGCGGUGAGCGAGAACGUGAAGCUCAUGAAUGAACUUACUGUCAAAAAAGUUGUUGAUCUGGACGGUGGCGUUAAUUGCGCUGUUCUUGUUGUUGAUCAUGAUAAGACACGAAUCGUCCGGGAAGACCAGGCCGAAGAGCCGCACACUGCAGGUCGCCUUGCUGCUGCAGGAAGACUCUAUAAAUACGUGGUGUCGAAUGGGAGUAGGGCAAAGGGGAGGCAGGGAAGGCCAGGACAGGAAAUGCCGUGGAAGCAAAGGGGAGCCACACGUAAGUGAGGCGGUAAGUGAGGCGCGGGACAGGGGAAAGGAUGUUCAUCUUGCCGGCCCCCCUGCAUGGGCUGGGAUGCAGGUCCACAUCUCGCGACACAGUCCAUUGAAGCACUUUCCCUCGGCUGCACGUGCAGCGAGGCGAGCAGCGCUCGCCUCCAGCGCCCCGCCCAAUCCUCACCGGGUAUGGGGGUGCAGUUCUCGCCCGCGUAGGUGAUAUCCGCGUCAGGGCUGAGGGCGCAUUCCUGCAGUCCGAAAUGGUUUGCAUGUUUCUCAUCAUCAACAGGAUAAGGCAUCAAAAAGGUGGCAGAUGAAGCCCAUAGAGCACAUGCGGAACGAGGUCCGAGUCCGAGAGGAAACAUUGCAUGUCCGUGUCGCAUGCCAUGGCAAGUCAGGUGGGGUUGAAACCAGAGGCGCACGAAGACCUUCAGUCCCAUAAUGAGUUCGUGAGGGAAGGACUUCCACCAGCAUGCCUAGCCCAGCCGCAACUCAGUUCCGUCCAAUCUUAAGGAGUGCGCGAUCCGACGUAUCCUGCAUGAGCAGCUGGUGGAAGAGGUUCCGCUGGUGCUGAUGCUGCCGGACAGGCGCAGAGCCAUCGUUGUGCAAAAUGGAGUCCGACGGCGUUAAACUGCUUCCCACGGAGAAGCACUCAGAUACGAAGCUCUAGCUACAUCUACCAAGCAACAAGCCCGGCUCAAGCUACACCUGCGCACGCGCAUGUGACCGCCAGGUCCGACCGCAUCGGAACUGGACACUGCCGCGAGAGCAAGCCUUGUGCCCACAGUGGUAAGAUGUCACUGCCCUGAGGGUCCAGGUGGGUAACCGGGUGUAUGUGCCACAGCGCUUAACACCGCGCCCCCUGCAAACCAGCCCCUGGGCUCGUGGCGAGCACGGGCGGCAACUCCAUGGCCCCUGCACCCACGAGGACCUAACAGCCCGGCCACCGCCAUGAGUGUCUCAGGCGGGUCAGUACGCGGGCCGUCAGCAUUGGCAGGACAUUGGCGCACCUCCAGUACGGUCUGCCUCGUCAUGUACACGGUGCUGAUGGUAAUGUUCUUGUUGUUGGUGGUGACUUCAUAAAUCGUCCGGUGCGUCGUCUGAAAGCCGCACCAAUACCACAGGGUUCGGGCCGGGAUAGUCACAGUGGCCGGUUUGCAAAUGCCCGGCACUGCAUUCCGCGGGAGCGGCAUAGGGCGUAGGGCGGGGACAGCGGAAGGAUUAUAGCGUAUAUCAUACUGGGAGGACUGGCUAGGAACCCAGUUCUUGCGCGCUGGAAAUCGAUGAGGCUUCUAAUCUCAGGCAGUCCUGUCCUUGCAAGCAAGAUGAUCCAACGCUGAAGCUAGGGGCAGAAAUCAAGUCCUUCUUACCCCGCCGGCGUCGACACCAUGAUUACUUAGUCACCCCUGACUCGAGCCGCCAUGAGGAUUAGCAAGCUGCACUUACCUCCACACAUAACUCCAGGAGGCUCAUUACUGGCCACAAGCACGGCUUUAACAGUGCCGGUAAGGUUGUACUUCGCCGCUACCGUCGUCCUGCACGAAAGAAUGUUGUUCAUGUCCAUAGGAAGAAUGAAGGAGAUAAUCUCGUUGUGGGCUUACCUAGCCAAAAGCAAAAGCGCUAUCGCUUGCAACAGCAUUAGAACUGCGUGCCGCAUUUCUUACACAGAGCUAAUAGGCUAAGCUUCGUAAUGUUCAUGUAAGAAGAUCGAUGACUGAAAAAAAAGCAAACCUGCGGCACACCUCAGGCAAAAAUGUCGUUGGCCGAGAUCGAUGCCGUGGACGACAUUGCAACCGCUUUCCCUGCUUCCCAUCAGGGUGCAAACACCGAGAACGUCAGAAAUGUAACGACAUAUAUGAUUAUAUUGCAUGAAUGGAUUGCAUGUGCCUUCGAGAUAUCACACCCUAGUAGGCGGGCCUGUUAAGCAGGUUUGAAUAGGUAGCUGAAAGCUCCAUGGAAAAACAGCCAUAACGUGUCCAGAUUGUCAUUUCAGGGGCCUCACACAGCACUCACGAGGUAGCAAGCAGAAUCACAUCCUGCGGGAGGGAGCCGCUGCUCCUGAGAGGGUCUUGGGAGAAAAGCACGGACAGCUGGGCUUUCACUACGUUGGGCUAGUUGGCAAGCCUGCCACCGGAGGGCUGCCAUCAGCUCCCAAGGAGUUCAAUAUAGAAAUACCCCCUUGCGUGGCUGCUUUUUUGGUUUGCUUCUACCACGCCGGUUCCAUGUGACUAAACUUGCAGUAUGUACGGCGAAGUCUUAAGGCUACCCGAAGAAGUUAACACAGUUAUCAUUAGUACUGUUUAUGUAGGUUAUUAUUGAGUUACAACUUGCCUCAAAGCCGUAAAGUCACAUUUUGCGUCUUCGGCAGAGCUUUUCGCGCCAAGCAAUUAUGCUGAAUCCUAUGGGGUUCGCCGCACGCCGGUAAACACAACCAAAGAUGGUUUCUACACGGGCAAAAAAAUCUGAUAGCAGCCGAGCUCAGGUGCGCCCUGAAAUGGAUUUGCUUGUAAGCCUUUCGGAUGCCUGUAUGGGAACGCCAAGGAUAUCGGUGUGUCCUGGCUUAUCAAGUCUUGUACAUGGUGCACAUUGCGAGUUACUGUGCGAGAGGUGGCCCCGGACAUGGUUAACCCGCGCAGUCGCCUCUGAGGGAGGUGGACCGGAACAGACGUCUAUGCCGUCUGGAGCCUGUUACGUAUGCGGAGUAUGACACGGAUGAUGACGAUUCUGAGGAUCUAGCAGGUGGUUUACAUAACAGCGGCUAUGACGCGGGCCCCAAGGGGGCAGGCCCAAACACCCAAAUGGUACGUCGUUGUCCAUCUUGGCUUUCAGUCCCACCAUACGGGGAACAUCGGUGUAAUGAAGGGAGUCAAGAAAUUGUCAGCUUUGGCCCAUCCCGGGCCUCCAGCUUUGCUUUGCCUGCCUGCGAACUAGCUGUCGGCAGCUGUUGGUGAGCGUUGCUUAUCCCUGGUUAAACCUGCACUGGAUCCAGACGUGCCGCGACGAAUUCGACGCCACGACAGGAAUGCGUUUGACAGUCCUCUGCCGAAUAUAAACGUGUAGGUUGAGGCAAGGGUAAACCCAGUUGCCUUGCACUGGGCCCCCAAAAGCAGUGGAGGUACGGCUUGACAGCUAACAUGUCUGGAUUUCGGCUGCUGAUUCCCUUCCCGCUUAUGCCCCUUGCCUGCCUGGCACGCAGCACGUCCGCUUUUCCCAACAACGGCAGCAUGGAGGCUCCAAACCUGGUAGUAAAGGGAAUCAGCAGGUACGUAAAGGAGCGUCAUGGAUGUUGAUUGGGACGAGUCAAUGGACAGGACUUUGCAGUCUCAGGCCGCCACAUGUCGCAUGGAGAGAUGCCCUUGCGUCCUCAAAGGCAAACAACAUCAGUGUCUCUUCGCACCACAACCACAACCAGCAGGCGGCACCGCGACGUAGCACCAGGCUGUCAGGCCCCUCCCUCGUACCGCCGUACCAUGGGGGAGGCGGCAGUUCGGGCCAGGGGCGGGAAGGUGGUCACUCGGAGCACGACGCUAGCGCGGAGGAGGAACGGUCGCAGGACGACGUGGAGGACGACGACGAGCGGAAAGUGGGGUUCGUCGAUAAUAGCCCUCAGGUGUGGCGGUGCCUGGUGUAAUUCUUCGCUGUGUAACCAAUACCGUCUGGAAUGUAAGGGGCUAGUCUCAAGGCAAGGAACGAUGAAGCUAUGGCAUGGCCGUUUUCACCUGUGUGCGUGUUAUAAUAUGCCGGCCUGCUGCGUGUGACCCGUGGGUCUCUCAAAGGUGGCAUUGUAAAGUAGGUGGCUGUGAACCUCGGUGCUCCUUGCUCCAUCCCACCAUGACACGCGCCGCUGUGCAUUCUGCAUCCACGAUGCAGUGCUGCUCCAAGCUGAAGGGCACCACCCAUAGGUCGUAGCAGGCCUUGUGCUAUUUUUCCACGGUAACAGUACGCCCCUCUUCACCAGUGCAAUCCGCUGUCUUGCAUGUACAUGAAGGCUGACCAAAAGGCUCGCCUGCGGUCACAAAUGUCACCCAAGCAGCGACAGCUGCAGCAGCAACCUAUGACGUCAGCUAAACCCGCCACCGCCGCCGGCGGUGCGGGCGGAGGCAGCAGCGGGCCAAGCCGAGACGCGGGAGGCCUAUCAGUGCGGCGGACAAGCGCACGGCUGCUGAACCAUCAGUCUCAGCAGUUAACAAUACCGCAGCAGCAGCAGCGCCAGGUAGGCCAUUGGCAUGGAAGGGCUUAUUUUUUGUGUCUGACAUUGCCUGGCAGAUGGCUAGCUAUACCUUGCAUCAUUAUUUCUCUACCCGCUCAUGCCUCCAGGCUCGUCACGGUGGUGACGCAAGCCAUAGCAGUGAGGAAGCUGAGGAUGACAGUGACGGCGAGCACGCAGUUCGGACCGUUGCGACGCGGCGGAGUAGCCAGAGGGGCAUCCGACGAAGCGCCCAGCUAAGCCGCAGCCCAGCCGGCAACGCCACUAGCGAUUCCGGCAGGUCUGGUGGCGAGGACGACGAUAGCGACGGCAUUGGAGAUGAUGAUCACGACGCCGAAGAUGACCGGCGCCCGCGGCGCACGUCCGGAGGCGUCGGCGAGGCUAAGGAUGGCCGCAGCGGUAGGACCGGGCAGCACCGCCGCGCGAACGGCCACAGGGAUGGCCAGGAGGCUGAGGAGGACGAGGACGACGAGGAAGGCAUUGCCGAGGAAGAUGAAGAGGAGAGCGAAGGGGAGGAAGAAGAUGAAGAGGACGAGGACGAAGGCGUGUAUAAAGGCCGCUACCAUCUUCGAGGACACCAAGUCAAUGCUUUGCGGAAGCACCCCGCAAAGCGACCCCGGUAUUCCGAGGAGCAACCUGGGGAGGGCCCUAGCCGGCGCAGCGGCGGCGGACGAGGCGAUGAGGACGACGACGACGACGAGGAUGGGGACGAGGAGGAGGAGGGCGAGGAGGAGGACGGGGAGGAGGACGGGGAGGCCAAGCGCCGCAGGGACCGAGUACGGUCCCGCAGCAGGGGUGGGGACCGCAGCCGGUCCGUUGGCCGCCGCCGGGGCAAGGGUGACGGUGGCAAGGGCCCAGCGCGGCGGUACACGUUGCGGGAUCGGAGCCGCAUGGUGCCCAUGCAGGUCCAGGAACAGCAGCGGCAGCGCGAGGAGCUCAGACAACGGGAGUUGAUGUGAGCGGGGUAUGCCCUUGGAGGGAACGGAAGAUGCAUUGGUGUUAUGCAAAACGCCAUGGAAGGGAUACAUGGAACGAGUGGCGGCAGGAAAUGUGACUCCGCAACUUGCGCAUCUAGGCGGGCACGGGGGACCGCUGAUGAGUUGCUGGCUGGCGGAGGCAGCCCCCAUAAGCACUGUUGCACCCGCCCGGACUUGUAGCGGUACCGGUUGGUACACAGCGGCCUAAACUCGUCCCUGUCUGUCCUCCCUAAAUACCCAACGCACGCACCCGGUACCGUACACUGCUGCAAUGCAGGGCCCGCAAACGUUUCCGGGACCGUUCCCGCGGCCAGGGAGCCAGCGGCGGCAAGCACGGUGGAGGUGGCGGGGGAGGGGGAGGCGGGGGAGGUAGCAACCGCCGCUCAGGCGGCGGGUGGGGUUGGCGCAGCGGUAUCUCCGAUGACGACGUUCCGGACGUUGACUGCACCAGCGGUGGCAACCCCUGGCGCAACGUCCAUCAGGGAAUUGGACAAUGUGGGUUAUGGAGGGGUGGGCCCAGAUCACAUGUCUGGUGCGGUGCCGAUGGCUGGCUUGGGCCUGCUUGGCGCAUAUGUGUGACCUGUACCACGUCCCCUGACGAUGGCUUACCAGCCCCUACUGCCGGGCUCGCCCGCCUUGCAACCCGCUUCAUCCUUUCCUCCUGAGGCCCCAACCCUUAGUUAUAUUCUGUCUCUACACUCUGCAUGUGGGUUAUGUAUUGCUCGUCCGUAAGCUGCAACUGUAACGGGCGCAUAAUCACCAAGCCCUGCCCUGCCCUCUGGUUGCUUUAAGUCCUGCCACUCCGCAUGCUCCCACCCCCAUUUCAUGCAAUUCUCAAACUGCAGUGGCUUCUUGGCAGGCCGGUGCCUUUGCACAGGCGCCUCCCGCAACCCCGCUACCCGGCCAGCCCAUCACCGCCCACGGCGGAGCGCAGGUGGUGCCCAGCAGCGCAGCGCACAUGGGACCGGGGGCAGGGGCUCAAGGAGCCGCGGCGGCAGCCGCGGCGGCAGUGGCCGCAGCCACACCCGGGCCGCUAGGCGGCGGUCAUGGCGGUGUCGGCGGGGCUGCACCCCUGGCGGCCUGGGAGCAGGCACUGCUGGCGGACGCGGCGGCGUUGGCUGCAGGCGCCGGAGGCAAAGAGAAGGCUGGCAACGCGGAAAUUAACCCUGUGGCGGUAGGUGGGCGUGAUCUUGGCUCGCGCGUGCUUCUUGCAGGGUGAAGACAUGCCUGGGCGGGAGGAGCCAGGUUGGCUGCCCCAUUAAAUUCGGCUGCGGUUCCCAUUACGUGGGUGGGGAUGGCUGCCUCACCCCCAUUAACAACGGCUUUAGCUUCCCUCCUGCUGGCUAGCAGGCAGCAGCGUCUAUUGUCUGCGAUUUCUGCGGUGUAUUGCACGUCAAAACAUCGCAUUCAUUAAUUACCACGCCUUUUGUCCAGGAUUGCGUCGCUCGCUCCGCCGCCAUGGCGUAUCGUGCUGCGUGCCUUGGCCCUGAGCCCGUGUAAGCUGAGAGGGCGUCGAUCACUACCUUCCAGGUUCCUGCCACUCCUUCACGGCCCUCCUGCCUCCUAAAGCAUACAUAGCAUCAUAACAUGUCACACUCCACCACCCCGCAUUCUUUCCGUUUUGACCUUGCCUUGGCCCCGUCUAACACGCGCAGGUCGACCCCAGUGUAGGAUUUGACCAGGUGGGCGGGCUGGACUCGUACAUCGAUGCGCUCAAAGAGAUGGUGUUCCUGCCGCUGGUCUACCCGGAGCUGUUUACGCGCUUCAGCGUGCAGCCACCGAGGGGGGUGCUGUUCUACGGACCGCCUGGCACGGGUACGGCAGCGUUGUUGUCUCCCUGGUGGGCCCUAUGGCCGAGGGGCGGUGGGAAUCCGGGAGGGCGAGCAGAGACUGCCCGCGGCGGGGAGGGCAGGGACGGUUGCGGCGGGCAGGCGGAUCUCGGCGCGGAGUGGGAGUCGUGUGGGGCAUGCCGUGGCGUCGGGAAUGGACCGCUGGAAAGGACCGCGUUUCGGCGCGGGUGGAUCGAUCCAUGAAUGACUCGGACGGUCUCGUGGCCUCCCCGGAUGGAUCCGUGGCCUUGUCCUGCAGGCAAGACGCUGGUUGCCCGUGCUCUUGCCGCCCACGCUAGCCGUUACGGCGGCCGCAAGGUGUCGUUCUACAUGCGGAAGGGCGCCGACGUGCUGAGCAAGUGGGUGGGCGAGGCCGAGCGGCAGCUGAGGCUGCUGUUCGAGGAGGCGCAGCGCAACGCACCCGCCAUCAUCUUCUUUGACGAGAUCGACGGACUCGCACCGGUGGGUGGCGAUGUGGCUGGGUGUGUUCUGUGGACAGUGUGGCCAUUCCGGUGGCGGCGGUCAGCCUCAGUGUUAGCUAGGGUUUCGGAGUGUUAGCUGGGACGGGGGCACGAUGGCUGGUAGAUAACGUAGAGAUUAAAGUCGUAAUGCUAUGUCAACCUUCCUCCCCUGGUUUUCCGCUUCCGAAAUGAAGGUCCGCAGCAGCCGCCAGGACCAGAUCCACAACUCCAUUGUGUCGACCCUGCUGGCCCUCAUGGACGGCCUGGACAGCCGGGGCCAGGUGGUGGUCAUCGGGGCCACUAACCGCCCGGACGCACUGGACGGGGCGCUGAGGAGGCCCGGCAGGUUCGACCGGGAGCUGCUGUUCCCGCUGCCGGGAUUGCAGGUGGGCUCCUUGGGACAGGUUCCAGGUUUCUUGGGCCGCUUCCAUGUCUGAAGCCAAUAUGCGUUGUGGCACAGGCGGAAUUGGCUGUCGGGCAGUGCCGGUGUGCAAGUACACGUCGGCCUGCAGGGGCAUGCGCCUGCGCGUGAAGCCGGAUGUGGGCGUGGGUGUGUUUCAGGACAGAGGAAGGAGGGCACAUCGCGGCUUGAGGAGACGUAGUAGCGGGUUUCACCCUCUUGCCCUUCCUGGUGGCUGUCCUUUGAGCGAGCUACAUCCUUGUGGACCGCCCUCCUGGUCCCGCAGGCGCGCCGCUCCAUCUUGGAUAUCCACACUCGCAAGUGGUCGGAGCGGCCUAGCGCUCAGCUGCUGGACGAGCUAGCCGGGUUGUGUGUGGGGUACUGCGGGGCGGACCUCAAGGCCGUCUGUGCUGAGGCCGCGCUGCACGCCGUGCGCCGCAGGUGAGGAGGGUGGGCGUCAUGCUAGGCUGCGCUUGUGUGUUUCUCUGCUUGUUUGACUGGGCCACGUCAGGACAAGGUGCACAUGGCAGUAUACGGGCGCCGCCCACUCCAUGCUGCACGUUGCCUCUGAUGGUUGCCACCCGAGUGUCUUGAUUCCCGCUUGCUGCAUCGGCUCUCCACCGCCUGAGGCCUGCAAUCAACCGUGCACGGCAACGUUUUCGCCGCGUGCGACCCGUGGGUCAGGUACCCGCAAAUUUAUGCAUCUGAGGAUAAGCUGCUGGUGGAGCCCGCCUCCGUGCGCGUGGAGCGGGAGGACUUCCUGGCGGCCAUUAGCACCGUCACACCUGCCUCCAACCGCUCCGCUGCUGCGCACGCGCGGCCGCUGUCCGGCGGCGCCGCGCUCUGCCUGGCGCCGCGCCUGGCCGCUAUCCUGGGCCGCCUCAAAAGUACUUUCCCACCAGCGGCGCAGUGCCUAUCGGCCAGCGUUGCCCGGGAGGGCGGAGCUGGUGGAGCCGGCGCCUCCACGUCCCUCAUCCUCCCGCCGGGCCGAGUGGGCCCUUGUGGCGGCGCCGCCGCCGCCGCCACCGGCACGUUGCGGCUGCCUGGUGGUGCCGCCUGCAGCGGCGCCUUUGGCGCCCUGCUGGCCCGCCUGCCGUCGUUUCUGGUGUCGCGGCCGCGAUUGCUCCUUUGCGGUCCAGCGGCAUGUGGCCAAGCGCAGUUGGCGGCGGCGCUGCUGUACGCGCUGGAGGGCCUGCCAGCACACGCUAUCGGGUUGCCGGCGCUGCUGGCCAACCCCGGCGCCAGGUCGCCGGAGGAGGCGCUAGUGUGGGCGUUUGUGGAGGCACGCAGGUAGGUGUACGAGCAAUGUUUUCGCUUUAGACGGCGUGAGUGUACGACAAAAUCAGCGGGCAGAUGGCUGCGGGUAUCGCAGGAGCGCGAACUUACGGCUUUUUGGUAGUAGUUGUAUGUAUGCUUGGCGAAGUUUGACCAUCAGUGCUGCGCUAUGGCCAGAUUGGGGCUUGCGCCCACGUUCCAGACCAGAUAGCACAAAGUUCUCCACCUGGCUGCUGCUGCUGCAGGUCCGCUCCAGCCAUCCUGUUCUUACCGCACUUGCAGCUUUGGUGGCAGACGGCGACCCCGCAGCUGCGCGCCACGUUGGUGAUGCUGCUGCGUGACCUGCCCCCGGAGCUGCCGCUGCUGCUGCUGGCCACUGCGGACGUGCCGUUCGGGGAGUUGGACCGGGGGGUGCGGGCGGGCGUCUUCUCCGGCACCGAGGACGUGGUGGUGCUGCAGCGGCCCAUGGAGCAGCAGCGCAGGGAAAUGCUGCAGGUGAGGCAUGGUGCUGGAGAGUGCUGAGUCCCUUGACGGGUACGUCAGUUGUACUUGAGACGGUUGGCUGACCCACUUCUUGCAAAAACGAAGUGAGCAUGCCGGUGCUUGCAAGCGGAUUAUGUUGUCAGAGAUCCUCUGAGAAUCUGAACGACGGGAUUAAGAAAGAGAGGACCUCAGGCUAGAGGGACGAGCAGAUAGGCGGAGAUAAGGCGGGGAUGGGGAAAUCAUGGGUAUCGGCGUAGGUGUGGGGAUCACUGGAAGACUGAAUGGCUGGGCGAGGUCUUCCUCGCUAAAGGGAGGUGCAAGGCCGCCUCGCCUCCAUCGCCGGUGCAAGGCCUCCUCGCCGGUGCAAGGCCUCCUCGCCGGUGCAAGGCCGCCUCGCCGGCUGGGUCGCGGACGCGGACGCGGGAGCUAGCCGCUUGCGUAGUGCGGGGCGUUGGUGCUCAAGAGUCGGCAUCCUUGGGCUGAAUUCAUCCUCAACUUGCACCGCAUGUGCCCGUUCCGGCCCACCAUACCCUCUUGCCCUGGCAGCAGCUUCAAUCGUGUGUGGUUCGUCUUCCCACCAUACCCCUUCAGUAGCUGAACAACCAAGCCUUAAUGCCUCGUGACCUCCUAGUCAUCCUGCCGUCCGCAUCUUUGGUUUUGACAUGUGCUUUAACGACCUAAGCUGUUAUGUUACGUGCUGGUUGUGGAAGCUCUUAAGAGAGCCCAGGACCUGCUAAGGGAAGUUCGACAAGGACGAAAAAAAGAAAAAAAGCAAACUUAUCACAAGCUUAUGCGUCUUAACCAGAUAUCAGCAACCAUCCUGGCUGGAGUCCUCCCAGGGCUUGCCUGCUCCAUAGCCCUCUUCAUGGCAUCACCCGUAUGGGGAGCACUAUACCGUAAAGUGGACGCGUAUAUAUAAGCCAUGUGAACGUAACUUGUAGGAGCCCAUCAUGGCCGCCGCGGAGCCGGUGGACCCCGCCCUCUUGGCCGCACCCGCUGACGUGUCCGGGUCAGCUGCCACGGCGGCGGCAGAGCCGCUGCCCAAGGACCCUUCGGUGGCGGAGGCCCGCGCGGCGGAGGCCCGCAGCGCCGAGGAGCUGGCGGCGCGGCGGGCGUAUGAGGAGGACCAGGCGGCGCUGCGGUCGCUGCGGAUGGCGCUGCGCGGCGUGACCCUGACCCUUCUUAACGAGCGGCGAUGGAAACAGUUUUCUGCGCCUGUGGAUCCCGCGGAGGACCCGGACUACUGGCGGCUGGUGAGUGAAAACUGGGGGAUGGUUAAGACGGUGCUUGGGCUGCGGGGUUUCCUCAGUAUCAGGUGCGGGUGGAUGGUAUGGGUGCUUGUGCGCCGAGAGGCGAUGUGGAUUGCUGGGCCCGGCGCUAUGAUGCUGGGCUGCAAAGCUCGUAAGUCACUAGGUCACUGGGGCUCGUAAGUCACUGAACACCUGGAACGAGCUGCCAGUACUGAAUGGUAAGAUGGGGGAUGUGAUGGCCGUGAUGGCUGCUGCAGCAGCGGCAGCAGCAGCAGCAGCAGCAGCAGCAGAAGACUUGGUGGUGGCCACUACGAGAGCCGUUCCUCCCCGGUCUGCUUGCCGUAGCUCCUAACGUAGCUUCCUUGCCUUUACAGACGGCCUCUCCUUCCGCCGCGUGUCCCGAGUUGCAGGUGAGCAACCCGAUGGACCUGGCCACGGUGCUGGCCCGCGUGGAUGCUCGACAUUACGUCACCAUUGGCCAGUACCUGUCGGAUGUGGCGCUUAUAUUGCAGGUAGGAGCUGCCAGCCGGCCCCUCGCUGCGACCGGCCGACUGCUCGCAUAGGCAUAAAUCUAGCACGAAAGGACUGCUGGAUGAGUUCUUAGUCGUCUCGGUGUCCCUUGGGGGGAUCCUUGCAGGCGGCCGGGCCCCGUAAGGCUAUACCUCAUCUGGGUCAGUGCGCGACUGGAUAUGCGACAUAUGCAUCAUGCAACUCCACGGACUAUGAACGCACGCUAGGUAGUCGUUUCGGGAAACCCUCUUAAGCACGCACGGAGGGGCGGCCCGCUGCCCAUUGACCCAACUCACACACACACGCGCGCGCGCGCCAUCCCUUGCGGCGCAAUAUAUAAAAUUGCACAAGCACUUGGUCCCACGGUUGCGCGCGGCGUCGCACAGGGAGCCAGGGAGUACUACGUGGAUUCCGUCCGUGAUCUCAGUCGUGCCACUGCCCUGGCGGACGAGGCGGAGCAUCUAGUUAAAGCCCGGGUGCCCCUGGAGCUGGCUAAGCGCUGCGAGGACAUCCUCGCACGGGGAGGUCCCGCGCCGCCGCCGCGCGGGAUGGAGCUGGUGGAGGAGCUGGCAGUAGCCAGGGCAAAGGUGGUGGCGGCGGCGCGCACGGCAGCUGUUGGGACAGCAGCGGCCGGCGGCGGUGGGACCGGGAGUGCUGGGGCUGGUGGCGUUGCCGCAACUGGCGGCGGCAGUGGGCCUGGUGCCGGCGGCUAUGCAACGCGGCAGCGAGCCGGUGGUCAUGGCGGUCACUCGGACGGGCCCUGCAUGCCCAUGUUCGAUGACCCGGAGGCGCUACUGCGGAAGACGCGGCUGUUACAGCAGCGGGAGCGCGAGCAGCAGGUGUCCGGGGCCGGCGCAGCGCAGGCUUGCCGGUUAUCCCAGGCGCAUGUGCACGCACAGCUGGCGGGACCCAGGCCGGAUGAUGGGUCCGCGGGACAUGACGCGGCGGUUGACGACGGCAAGGAGGCGACGUCUCCGCCAGGCAAAGCUCACACAGCGGAACCGAAGCAGCAACAGCCGCAGACUGGGGCCAGAAGAGUGUCGGAUGGGGUGCAGGCCGGGCCCAGCGGCUUGGGAGGGACGUCGGCCGCCGUUGCCGCCGUAUCGACAGUGGCUGCGGCGGGUAACGUGGACAUACCGGCCCGGGCAAAUGGCGGGACGUUGGAUGCGACAGGCACCCGGUUGCAGGCGGGGGAGCCUGGGGAAACACAGCCUGCUGAGGGGCAGGACGGAGCCAUGGAGGUGGACGCAGGAACGCAAGCGGAGGCGGCAGGGUCGCAGGGCCAGUUGCGAGAAGGGACACCAGCGCCGGCCCGCGGCAGGGUGGACGAUGACAAUCAUAAUGAUCAUGAUGAUGAUGACAUUCUGAAGGACGUGGCUGGGGGGCAUGCAAGCGAUGAGCUGCGGGCGCAGCCCGAAUACCCUGGCCACCAGGCGCAGGGUAUGGGCUCAGAGGUGGCCCUUGUGGUGCGUGAUCCCCAGGACCCGGUAGCCCUGGAGCGGGCUAAGGCGCUGCUGGAGCGCACCGUGUCCACAACGGCGGACUGGUCGUUUGAGGCCUUGGAGCUGCUGUACGCAAGGGCUGCUGGUGUGGUUUUGGAGCAUGCUCGCACACGGGACAGGCAGCUAGUGACGGCGGCGCUGGACGAGAGCCUUGCGGCAGCUGUUGCGGCGGGCAAUGGUGCGGCGGUGGGGUUGCCCAACAAAUUACGUGCACGAAACUGAAUUUUUUGUAGGAGGAAGCAUUACGGAGCAUGUGGGCGGGUGGCGUAAUUGCUGAGGACAGGUGCACGAUGCAUUGGUGUACCAGGAAGCAAGGACGCGGGCUCACGCGGGUCAGGCAUGUUGGGUGACUGUGGGUGUACAUGGUGGAUGCUUGGAUGGGAAAUAGGAAUCGUGCACAAGAGCAUAAGGAGCAUGUGCGAACACUGUUGCAGUCAGGGCGCAGAGCUUUGUUGGGAAGCGCUCAAGUGACCUCAAGUGAUUCUGGGAGUAGCUAUGGACAUCGACUGAGGGGAGCUAUAUUGACGAAGCUUUGCCGUACUGGUUUCAGGACUGUUCGCGUUCCUAAUAGCUACGCAAUCGGCCUCGGGAUCUAAGCAGGCUUAUUGCUCAGUCCUGCCGUGGUGCGUUACAGUAGCUAAGCCGCCAACCGCAAGCACAACUCCGUAGCAAAGCAACCCGUUGCGAAACCCCCUCCCAACACCAACCCAUUGUGAAAGUUGCAUUAGUGGCCGAUAGUAAUGACAGUUACCUGUGUUGCACCGUUAACGAAUCUGCAACCUCAAGCGCCCCGACAAGAGCCACGCGGGCGACCCACCCGAAACCAGCAAGGACAAACCAGGGACCGCUGCAUUGUGGCAACCCCCGGGGUUGCCCUGGGUGGGUGGGGGGAACGACGAGGCACAGAAAAUUGAUGAGAGAACGCACCGAUACGGGUACUCCAAACUUAAACCCAUAAUAAAGGACAAUUAGUACGAUAUCGACCUGUGGGUGGGUGGGGGGAAACUAGAGGACACUGUCCCAGCAGCGGGACACACCUCUUGGUAAUAGUCAAAACAACGGCAGUUAAAGAACCAAUGCGCCUGUGGGACCCAAGUAGGAGCUCGGCGUCCCUUGCCGUACUGCGGUCCGGCACAUGCAUGCAUGCAUGCGCCCGACUUCCACGCACCACGGCAGUUCCUUCGCAAUAACUUGCCUAUCUCUACACUCAUACUUCGCUUCGAGAAGUCGAAGCUUAUUGCUCAGUCCUGCCGUGGUGCGUUACAGUAGCUAAGCCGCCAACCGCAAGCACAACUCCGUAGCAAAGCAACCCGUUGCGAAACCCCCUCCCAACACCAACCCAUUGUGAAAGUUGCAUUAGUGGCCGAUAGUAAUGACAGGUCUUGAAAGGACCCACAAGUGCAACGAUCACUGGUUGGUAUAGGUCAAGAGGGUCCUCACCCAUGCCCCAGCCGCGGUGCUGUCUUCACCAUUAUGCUCUCGAAACCUCCGCACUCUUCCAGCACCCAGCUGCUGCACCAAGCUGCAAUCCGCACGGUUGUUAACGGCAGCGGUCACACCUUCAGAGUGCAGUGAGUGUGUUCCAAAGCGCGGAGACAGCCCUGCCUCCACAAAGAGCCUCCACAGGGGGCCCGGAGCAGUCUGUAUGGUUUAGUGGGAUGGUUGUGUUAAGCGGCGUGGUAUGCUGCUCCAAGCUCAGCAUGCCAUCCGAGUUGGCCACGACCCAGCGGAGGGAAGGGAUGGUGGUGACGAUGCCGCACAACCCAUAUCGUGUCCAUCGGUGCCGCUUGCAGCACACACGGACCACUACAAGUGGGGCACGAUAUGUGUAUCAGGGUCUGCAUUUCAGGGGUGGCACUGGCACAAAGUUGGCGCCGUCGGCAAAGUCCACUGGGAAUGCAAUCGUGUAUCAUCUUGGCGGGUGGAUACCCCUUGGGUGACCCCGAGUGGACGGGACUAUGCCCUCUUUCAGUAACACAGACUAGCUUGGACGAACGGAAAAGCUGCAGCCAAGACUAAGCUAUCACUACUACUACUGUAAUUAUUACGAUGAUAUGAUGACUAUUAUUAUGGAUUUUAUGAAUUUGGGCCACCAGGUUGCAUGAGGCCCGAGAGACAUGGUGAACCAAAGCCGUGCAUGGUGGCGGUUGCAUGCAUCAGGGCUUGUCCGAUGAUUGCGAAGGCGGAAACACCACCCAGCGACAUUCGCACCCUGUCGCAUGUCAGUAUCUGGUGAAAUUGUAAGGGGGAGCAUUAGGUGACUGCUGUCGAUGUGACUAAGGCAACUGCAAAUUAUCCUCGUGACCCCACGGUCUGGCCAGUUGUGCAAACAAAGCAGGGUUUAGCAGCCAAACGAAAGGGCCAUGCCCCUUGAAGGGUGCGUCCGCGAACUGGUGGCACUCAAGAGGGAAACAAUCCACUGAGAUCCAAGCCCUAUUACCAGAGCAGUGGUGCACACACGUCAUGUGCAUGGCCACAAGGGGUCCACCUUUGGAUCAUCAAGUCUUUAGCAGGUUGGCUUUGAUUGUCACCAGCACCCGCUGGGCGUCCAAGCACCCCUGCCGAAUGAGGCUCGGUAACACAUUAAACAUCACCGACAGUUCCAGGAGUCUGAGAUGGACCCUCCAGUUCCGAUACCCAUCAGCCCACAGCAAGGGCACCGUCCUCAAGGACCCAACCAACCCAGCCGCCAUACGAAAAACUCGGAACAGCAUCUGUGUGGAUGGCAAAUGGGUGCGCGUGGGUAGGUCGCCAAAAGAGUUUAACCCACCCUAGACUGCAAAGAAACGUGCAAUAUUUGGCGACUCCGACAGCUCAUGGCUGGCGGUAGGACCAGACCUGGACCGGUAAAACUGUGGACCACAUUGGGGCAGCAAUAGCGACAUGCCCGAAAGGUCCGCGAUCUCAUGCACCCAGUAGGGAGUACAGCUGUUGAACGCUGCGCAGGUUCCACCAUCCUCUGCACUGCGAGUCUCAUCCUUUCGGGACGAAUUGAGCCGUUGAUGGUGUCAACACCAAGUCGGUGAGAACCCGCUCUCGCCGCUGGUAGGGCGCCCGCACCCUGGUGUGCGAAAAAACCCCAACAGGCUGGUGCCAGCCUACUGGGCACUGCACAACCUGGGAAAAUUCGCCCUUGCUGUGCAAAGCCUAAGAUUGCCGAGCUUCCUUGUGCAUAUCAAUGUGGUGAUAGCCGGACUUCUGAGACACGGUGGGCAGAUAGCCGUGUGGUUGUGGCACGUCCCACAAGCAUCCCACGGGACUUAUACCUGUAGCUCGGCACCACACGGUGUUCGAUAAUAUAGCAUAGCGUGCAUCAGAAAUUAGGCGGAAUUUGGGAGUGGCCUUCUUUAGGAACAAAACCGAGGGGCAAUACGCAGCGCAGUUGGCAAUCGACUCAUGGUCCCGCCCCAGUGGCGACCAGUUCGGUGAUCACAAAAUUCAGUCUGCUGUUAGGCCGACGGUUGGCCAGGCUGUAGGGUGCUUCGCACAACAGCGGAAACCGAACAGUACCCAGGCCAUGACCAGGCGGGACUGCAUAAAUAACUUCCAACAUGCUGUUUUGGCUUUCAACCGGGCCCUCAUCUGUGAUGGCUGGUUGGACUUAGGUUUGUCUGCGCGCGGCAAGCUCGUCCCGGCCCUCCUUACCUUCAAUGUCGGGACAACUCUCAUGUCAUCCACGCGCCGGGUGUGCGCUUGUUCAGGGCCUGUCGGUACCGGUGUUCUCUCCGGGGAAAUGCGGACACCUUGGUUGCGGGCACUGGCUUGCCGUGUCACGCCUCUUAUGGGGCACUUGUGUCGGCCGACUCGAGGCCGGUCCGGCAUCCGGAGGAUAAACUUGCGUUUGACGCGCUGGUAUAAUCAGUGCUGCUGAGGGAUCGCUAUAUUUUGAGCCAAAGAGUAACUGUAGAUUUGGUCUUGUUGCCGAUUGCGAUGGUAUUGAGCCAUUGCUACGUACAUAAGAUCGCGCCCGACGAAGAUGCACUGUUUGGUGACGACCACAGUGGUCGAAGCUGUAUGACGGCCGAUGUGCGGCCGGGCGCGCUGGUUGUUGCAGGCCGCCGGCCAGGAGACGGGAAAAGGGGGCCAAUGCUUCUUAAGUAAGCCUCUUCUUUCAUUGAAUAGCGGGACAAGAUCGUUUAGUAGACGAACGCGUGUCUGCAAACGCGCAUGAACAGGUUCCCUUGAAUGGCAAUGAAUUAGUAGCCAUGUCCUGUUCGCUGGGCACCCAGGAAGAUCUUGUAUAUGUAGUGUGUUAAGAUCUAGAGACGCGGCGGCAAGGUACGCAAAGCACGAAGGCGAAGUCGGGAUGUAUCGGGGAAAACUGGUGUGAUGAAGCGGGAGUAUGGAACCAGUGCGCUGUCUUCUUGUGCUUGCCCGGAGUGGGCACUCAUGUUGGAUGGUUGGGUAGCUGAUGUGAAGUGGGGGCAAGGAAGGAAAUUGGGUUUCUGCAUACCCGCGCAGCUUUAGCACCAAAGGUGAUUUAAGCCUGCCCACACAGUAGGGCACGACAGACCGAUUUAAUGGGUCUUGUAGCCUCUUUACCCUACCGCAGUCACGUGAGUAUGUACCCUUUGCGGGGUUGGGGUGCGUCACUGUCGACUGCCAAAGUAAUCACAACUGCGAGCCACAUCCGGCCAUAACCACAGUGAAGACGGGCAGUAUUAGAGCUCUUCUCACAAGAGACUUCUGGCCACAUCCAGCCUAAGCACAGCGAGUGUCCAAAAUUGUUGGCCACAUCCGGCCUCGUAAGCAGCUUGUGUGGGAUGUUACUGGCCCCUCCAGCCUAUAGCUGUCGGCUGUCGGUCUUUACCGGCUCCAAGCAGGGGAGAAAAAUAUCGGAACCGUUAGUAACCUUAAGCAAUUGAUGCGCGAGGUCCAAAAAACUGCCCGGNCCAUGCGGCAGCAUGAGCCGUCUAUGCGCGAAGUCCCAAAACUGCCUGGCCCAAACGGCCACAUAACAGGCGAUGCGCAAUUCCACGAAAACUGCCUGGCCCAAACGGCCACAUAACAGGCGAUGCGCAUUCCACGAAAACUGCCUGGCCCAAACGGCCUCAUAAGCAGUUGAUGCGCGAGGUCCACGAAACUGCCGGCCCGAACGGCCUCAUAAGCAGUUGAUGCGCGAGGUCCACGAAACUGCCGGCCCGAACGGCCUCAUAAGCAGUUGAUGCGCGAGGUCCACAAAACUGCCGGCCCGAACAGCCUCAUAAGCAGUUGAUGCGCGAGGUCCACGAAACUGCCGGCCCGAACGGCCUCAUAAGCAGUUGAUGCGCGAGGUCCACGAAACUGCCGGCCCGAACGGCCUCAUAAGCAGUUGAUGCGCGAGGUCCACGAAACUGCCGGCCCAUACGGCCUCACAAGCAGUUGAUGCGCGAGGUCCACGAAACUGCCGGCCCGAACGGCCUCAUAAGCAGUUGAUGCGCGAGGUCCACGAAACUGCCGGCCCGAACGGCCUCAUAAGCAGUUGAUGCGCGAGGUCCACGAAACUGCCGGCCCAUACGGCCUCACAAGCAGUUGAUGCGCGAGGUCCACGAAACUGCCGGCCCGAACGGCCACAUAAACAGGCGAUGCGCAAUUCCACGAAAACUGCCGGCCCAUACGUCCUCACAAGCAGUCGAUGCGCGAGGUCCACGAAACUGCCGGCCCGAACGGCCACAUAAACAGGCGAUGCGCGAUAUCCAAAAACUGUCGGCCACAUCUGCCUGCGCAGGCAGUCCAAGCGCGGUAGUACUAGCUAGAUAUAACCUUGGGGAAAGCGCUCUCGGCUUCGUGACUUGUGGUAGUUAAGCCCGGUGUCCGGUAGUUGCUGUGGCGCAUCACACCGCCAGUGCCUGAAGGGGGCCGGUGGACAGAGCCAGGGUAGGUUGCAUGCCUGCUGCAGGAGCCUGUCGCGUUAGCCCAGCCGUUGAGACCCACGCUGCCUGCUGGCCGCAUGAGCCCAGUGUGAAUGGUGGUGGUUCGUCCGUGGGCGUCCUCGAACAUGCGAUCCCCCGUUGCCCAGCGUCCUGGCAGGUUGUAAACCUUGCCCCGGAAAUGUGGCGAAUACGACAAAGGAUCUGUACAACAUUAUUUGUAACUGGGUGUGACAGCCGGAGAAUUCAGUAGUUGUGUAACAGUAUGUGUGAAAGACGCUCGAAUAAACGACACCGAAGUGGUACGCAUUAGAAUUCACAACUCAAGAUAACAACAUUUCAUAACGGAUUUGAACUCCUAAUGUAUGGUGGCGUUCCUAGCGGCAAUGGAAGCUAAAUAGCGGAGGUUGGUUAACCACGUGACAGCUUUCAGCAACGCCUGACCUUCUUCGGACGCAUCAUCCGCCAUUGCUGUUCAAAUUAAGUUAAUGCGCUCAAUAGCGACGCGCACAACCUUCACCAAGGCCCAGGAUCCGCGUAAUUGCGGGUGGCUGGCUAAGGGCCGGCGGCUCCGCACAUUGUAAAAGAUUAUCGCUUCGGGCUGAGCUAACAUCAGCUGGGUUAGCUCCUCGUGCUCCUUCAGCCUCCGGUCGAAGUAAGCUGUGAGUGCUGGCGAAAUAACUCGCGCUCCUCAGCUAGCUGCUGUUCGAAGAGGGCCCGCAUUUCGGGAGUGAGCACUAAUCUUUCUGCGCCCGCAGCGCCAAUUUCCAUAGCCGACAUUCGAUUCUAGUAUUGCUAAGAAAAGACGGUGCAACACAUAACUAGAGGACACUGUCCCAGCAGCGGGACACACCUCUUGGUAAUAGUCAAAACAACGGCAGUUAAAGAACCAAUGCGCCUGUGGGACCCAAGUAGGAGCUCGGCGUCCCUUGCCGUACUGCGGUCCGGCACAUGCAUGCAUGCAUGCGCCCGACUUCCACGCACCACGGCAGUUCCUUCGCAAUAACUUGCCU